rnacentral:lncRNA from 1 species
UUCUCCCAGUUCCAAAUGGCAGCAAUCGGUAAUGCAAUCCCCUAACAUCAAUCUCACUAUUUGACUCUGAUAAGAAUCGUUCUGGCUGAAAUUCCAAUGGGUUCUUCCAAGUUUCGGGGUCCCUACCCAUGGACCAAAGGUUCACAAACAACAGAGUUCCUUUAGGAAUUAUGUAGUUGCCAAUUUUACAGUCUUCUAGUGCUCUUCUGUUAAGCAAUGGAAUUGGUGGAUGAAUCCGAAAUGAUUCUUUAAUGAUGACUUGAAUAUAGGGGAGAUGAGGAACGUCAGAUUCUUGAACAAGCCUGUUUCUUCCCACAACUUGAUCAAUCUCUUGCUGUGCCUUCUGAAGCACCAUUGGAUGGUUUAUGAGCUCUGCCAAUGCCCAUUCCACUGUCAUGGAUGAAGUGUCUGUGCCAGCUGUGAGGAAAUCCUGGACAGAUAGCAACAAAGAUGUUACAUGUUAGGUAAAAAAAUUCUAAAAAAAAUAUGGGUUGCUUCCCAUUAAUCAAAAGCAACAAGACAUCUGUUAGUACAAGGAGAUUCAUUGUUAUAAAGAUAAGAUUUAUUUAUUUAUUAUUUAUUUUUUUGUUAGAGUUUUUAACUUGAUGCUUUUGUUAAAGAUUUGAUUUAUGGUCCAUUUGGUACUAUUAUUGAGAAGUUGUAACUUAAAAAUCAUGGAAAACACUUAUAGUUGUGAAUUUUUGUUAAGGCGAUUUUAUCCACUAAUUAUUUGAUAAAAAAAAAGAAACUUAAAAUAUUUACUAGUUUUGUCAUAAAUAUAUUUAAAAUUAUAUUUAUGUCAAAUUUUAUUUCACAACUAUAAUUUCUUUUUGACACCUCAGUAUUAAACAAACCUUUGAUUUAGAUAUGAGACCUCUAAUAGGCUUAGAUCAUAUUCACACUUAAGAUGUGGUAGCUACUAAAUAGGUCCAUAGGAAUGGGAGCACCAAAAUGUAAAUAAUUACUCAAAUUAUUUUAAAAGUAUUACACCAUUUCACCGUCAAUUGCAUUAAUGACACAUUAAUAAUUAAUGCAUUUAUGCCACACCGAUGAAGACAGAGUACAAUUGACAACAUAUAUUAGUUAAAUAUAAAUGACCAUUUUUAAAGAUGAUGUUAAAAGAGACAAAUAUAGGUAAUUUGCAUUGAUUAAGAAGCAUCUUUUGGGAGACGUCUUUGUAAAAUUAAAUAUAGGUAAUAUGAAUCCAGUAGCUUUUGAACCGCAAAAAAUAGAAAAAGAAACCAAAGUACAAAAAUGGUAUAUUCCUAAACAAAUGAACAGACCUCAUUUAUCAAAUAAUAAUAAUAAAUAAUAGUCUUGCUAACUUACAUCUACUAUAAUUUACAUCAACUUAAAAUUAAUUUUUUUUUAAUAUCACUCAAUUGUUACUUGUCAAACAAUUAAAAACUUACGGAAAAUUAAUUUUGAGUAAGUUGUAAGAUAAAAACAAUGUAACUUAGCAGCCGUAACAAAAACAUUAAUAACACUAAAUAAAUAAAUAAAGCAAGUGAAACAUGACUUACCAAAAAUAGGGCUUUGAUGUGAUCUCUAGUUAACUUGAUCUCCGAAUUCUGAUUCUCCAGAACAUCGAGCAAAAUAUCAAGCAAAUCCUUCACUUUCUCUUCACUUUCCUUCUUCUCCUUCCUUAAUUUUUCACGAUUUGUUAUGAUAUUCUCCAGCAACGAAUCGAACCGUCGAUGAAUAUCCUUGAAUCGCCUGCGAAAACCCUGAAUAUCAAAGCUUUUGAAAACCCAAAUAACGUCAGAGAUAUUAAACUCGCCAAAAAUUUCAGUCACUUCACGAGCCAGGGUUCUACACUCUUCAGCCUGGCCCCCCUUUCCUGAACAUCUAAUGCUCAACAUCAUUUGAGAUAUUAUAUUGUUUGUAAAUUUCAACAAUUCAUCUGUAAUAUUAACACUUCCGCCAGAUUUAGACUUCUCAAAUAGAAACCGAAUAAGCUCGUGCAACUCAUUUGUUCGAAUAGGAAGAAACUGGAGAAGGGUUCUGCUGCCCAAGAGCUCAACUGUGGUCAGCUUUUUCAUGAAUUGCCAAUAUGGGCCGUUGGGAGCAAAAGCAAAAGAAGAGUUAUAUGUAAGGCAUUCAAUGGCGGCAGAGCUGUUCCGGGCGGCAAAAGUAACAUCAUUUGUUUUGAGAAGCUCUUUGGUUACAUCAGGAGAAGAAGUUACAACACCUAGGACAGAGCCUAUGCGUAUGGACAUCAAGGGGCCAUAGCGAGUUGAAAGCUUGUGAAAAGAAUGGUGAAGGGAAGGGCCGAGGAGAUGGAGGUGCCCGACGAUCGGCAAGGCCCACGGGCUCGGUGGCAGUCGCCGUGAGUGUUUGAUGGCUUUCAGCACGAGGGCGGACAAGAUGAAGAGGGAAGCAUAAAAAAUCAGUGGUUGAAGUGUCAUGGCUAGAAAAGAUCUCUAGGCUUCUUGGUCACUGCCAUUGAGAUGAGUGGACAACAUGCAUUUAUAGAUGCUUCAAUCAUGGGAAAUUUCAGCAACAUGCCUAAUAUUGUUUUCAAUGUAAUUAUACCUUUUGAAAAUAAUGCAAAAAAUAACAAUAAAUUAUGACUCAUGAGACCCCAUGUGUUUUACUUUUACUCUUUAAGUUACGUAAGUAGUGACUAGUUAUAGAAGCAGUGACUUAGCAAAUGUGGGCACAUUGGCAGCCCAUGCAUUAGUUAGGCCGGCAACUUCUGCCCAUGAACUUUCAAGUCUUUGCAAAACAAAACAUAAAUUGAGUAAAUAGAAUAUAAAAUUAGUAAAUAUAAGAUAAAAUAAGUAAAUGAACAUAUGAAUAUUAAAUUGGUAUAUUACCAGUAAACAAAAAAAUUUUGUAGAUGUAAUAUAAAACUUGUAAAUCAAUAUAUAUAAAGUAUAAAAAUAAAACAUAAAUUGUGGAAAUAGAAUAUAAGACUUAUAAAUAGAAUGUAAAAUAAGUAAAUCAACAUAAGAAUGGUAAAUUGAUGUAUUAUUGGUAAACAAAACAAAAACUUAUAAGUAUAAUAUAAAAUUUGUAAAUCAACAUUAAGUGUAAAAUAAAACGUAAAUGAUGUAAAUAGAAUAUAAGACUUAUAAAUGAAAGUUAAAUUAAGUAAAUUAAUAUAUGAGUAGUAAAUUAAUUUAUCAUUGGUAAAUAAAACAAAAACUUUUCAAUAGAACAUAAAAUUUGUAAAUUAACAUUAAGUGUAAGAUAAAACAUAAAUUAAAUAAGUAAAAGAUAAGACUUGUAAAUAGAAUAUAAAACAAGUAAAUUAAUAUAUGAGUGGUAAAAUGAUGUAUUAUUGGUAAAUAAAACAUAAACCUACCGAUGUAACAUGAAACUUAUAAAUCAACAUCAAGAGUAAAUUAAAAACAUAAAUUAAGUAAAUAAAACAUAAGAUUUGUGAAUAGAAAGUAAAACAAGUAAAUUAAUUUAGAAGUGGUAAAAUAAUGUAUUAUUGGUAAACAAAACAUAAACUUACAGAUAUAUCAUAAAACUUAUAAAUCAACAUUAAGUGUAAAAUAACAUAUAAAUUAUGUAAAUGAAAUAGAAGACUUGUAAAUGAAAUGUUAAAAAUGUAAAUAUUAUAAGAGUUAUUGAAACAAGUAAAAACUUACAAAUGUAAAAUAAAAACUCAUUAUAAUAAUCACCUUAUAUAUUUACUGUUUUUAUUUCUACUUUUGAAUAAUGAUAAUUUUAGGUUUAUGUAAUACAUUUGAUGAUAUAUGUGAAAUUAACUUGUUCUCAAAAUCAAAAUUUGAAAUUUUUUCAUAUUUGUAAGAUAUGUGAUUUACAUUCUUCUAAACCUUCUCAACAACAUCCGCAAAUGAUCUUUUAGUAUAAGUAAGAAGCAAAGUUUAAAAGUACAUGAAAUACGUAUAAAACUAGAAAUUAAAUCCAAAUUUACUGAUAUUUGAUAUGUGUCUAGUAAUAUAAGAAUGUCUUUUUAUUUUGUUUUGUCUUGAUUCACAUCAAGAAAAAUAAUUUUACUUAAUUAACUUGUAUAGUAAACAAAUAACAUGAUAGAAAAAAAAAUUUAUAUAUAUCCUAGCAUGAAUAUAGAAUUUAUGGUUAAACCAAUUUAAUGAAUCUUAUUCUAAAUGUUUUCAAUAUAAUUUUUUGUUUUCAAUUGAUGAUUAAUUUUUUUCCUUGCUUAAAUAAAUAAACUAUUAUUAAAUUAAAUUAAAUUUUAAUGUCGGUUUUACAAAUUUUAUGUUAUUUUUAUCAAUAUUUAUUUUGUUUGCAAUUUUAAAGCACCAUUAUACCGCUGUUAUAUUUUCAAUUAUUGCAACUCAAUUAUUUCAUGGUCAUCAGGGAGCUUGCUACGGUACAUUGUCUGUUACGUACACAGCCAAUGGUGGAAGGACCCACGUGCACAGGAGAGAGAAAUUGCUUUACCAAAUGCACCCUUUGUGGAGCUGGCUAAGGUGCAGCUCUCAAGUACAGCGUCUGCAACGUAGCCUUAUCCAGUCAUCAGUUAUUGCUAGGGGUGGGCAAAAAAAUCGUAGUGUUAAAAAAACCGAACCGAACUGACGGUUUUUUCUAAUUCGGUUCGGUUUUUAUUUUUUAAAAAAACCGAAUAUACCGUUUGUAAAAAAAACCGAAAUGUCGGUUCGGUAUUCGGUUCACUUAGCCGAACCGAAAAACCGAAUUAUUUUUUGAUUUUAUUUAAAUCAAACAUGUGUUAAUAAUUUUAUUCAAAUCAAACAUGUGUUAUUUCUCUUUAUAACAUUAUGAUUAUGUUUAUAUAGAUGGAGUAUUGGAGUUUGGUUAUGUAUUUUGAAAUUUUAAUAUUUCAUAUUUUGGGAGUAUCUUAUUAAUAGUUAGUAAGAUAUUAGUGAUAAAAUGUGUUUUGAAUACUUUGUAUUUAUUGUUAAUAUUUGUAAUAAAAUUAGGAUAAAUUAAUUGUUGAAAAAAAUUAUUACAUUCAUGAGGUCCAAUGGGCUAAAAAAUUAAAAAUUCAAAAUAGGCCCAAUAGGCUCAGAACCGAAAAAACCGAACCGAACCGAACCGAUCCGAAAAGAACCGUUUGAGUUCGGUUCUUAUUGAGUUCGGUUCUUAUUCGGUUCUUUUUAUAAAAUAACCGAUUUAAAUCGGUUCUACUUAAUUUUGAAUCGAACCGAACCAAACCGAACCGUGCCCACCCCUAGUUAUUGCGGUAGCUAACCUAAAAUUCGGAUCUGACUAGAUCUACAUUAUCUUCAGUCUUUUACCUGUUGGUCUCCUGUUUGACAUUUCGGCAGUUGGCACUCCAUUAAUUGCAAUUUCAUUUACUUGUAAGUGAAGCUAUUAUUUUUAAUUCUCUUUAUUUUCAUAUGGAGCAUGAGCUAAUGUCGUAUUAAGAAAAUAAAGAUUUAAAUGUGAUGAAUCAAAUUCCUAGGAUGCUUUGUUUCUACGUUUGUGGCAUCCUCAUAAAUUACUAUGAUGUGGGGGCUUGGUUUGGGAAAUCACGUAUUUCCGGCAAAAUUAGCAGAGUUUGCCUUGAGGUCAAGUAAUAGUAUUUGGGUUUGACCGAAUGGUUAAGUUAACAUAUUGUUAAGUUAGGUUUGACCAAAAAGAUACUGAAUUUGACUCCCUUAAAAGUGAAUACACGCAAAGCGAAUUUCGAGGCUCGUCUUUGAUCUGUAUAAACGCCAAAAAGAUGAGGUUUUCUUUUUUAAGUUACACUCCAAUUUAUUGAUAUCUACAAUAACAUAAAUUUACUCAUAAAUAAAUUCUGUUAUAUAAUUUCGAUGUUAAGAUUUAAAAUGAACUGUUCUAUUUUUAAAUAUUUAAAACAAUUAACUUCCAAAAUACUCACAAAAUGACUCAAACUUUUAAUCUUGAGAAUGAAAUGCGAAGUGCUUAAGGGCUAGUUUGGUAAUACUAUAAUUUUUAAAUAAUUGUUGUUAACUAUGUUGUAAAAAUAAUCAAUUGUGAACAAAAUAAGUUAAAUGUUUGGUAAAAUUUAUUUUUAAAAAUAUUAUGAGUUUUAAAAGCAAGAGUAUGUGAUUGGUAAAUCUUAUAUUUAAACUGUUGUAAGAAUAUAAAUGAUUGGAUUGGACAUAAUAUUGAAUAAAAUUUAGUUUACACAUUUAUAAACAUGUAUAUAUAAUAUUUUUUAUUGUGUAUAUAAUAAUUGAUAACUAAAAUAGACAUUAUAUAGUAUUAAUUUUAUUUUUUAUCUCAAUAUAAUUGGUAAUAAUAAUAAUCUCAUUAGAGUUAAUAAUUUUAUUUCUUAAUUAAUAAAGAUAAUUUGAGAUUUUUAUAAUAUAUAUGAGAAUAUAUAUGAAAUUGUAUUAAUUAAAAAAAAUGAUUUUUAAUAUUAGAUUUUGAAAAGUUACUCCAACUUUUUAAAAUCCGUUGUAAGAUGAGACAAUUUUAUCAAAAGUGAUUUUUUAAAAAAUUCAUCUAAUACUAAAAUUAACUUUUAACUUUUUUGAAAGCAAUAGCAAAGUAGCUCGAUAGAGCUACUCACAAGUUACACGUAUAAUUGAUAAUAUUAAUAUGUGGGACCUAUAUAUGACUUGAAUUGUUGAACAUUAAGUGUUGAUAGUGAUCACUAACCAUUUUAAAAAAGAAAGAUUAUAAUAAAAAUGUGAUAUAUAUAGCAUUGAUAGCAACAAAAAUUGACCCAUGUCCCCCAAUAACACCUUUCAUUGACCACACUGAAUCCUCCAUAAAUUUGGUAGAUCUUGCCCUUUGUAUAUGGACAUUGUUUCCCCACGCAUCACAAUUAUAGCGUAGUCAUUGCAGUUACCUUUAAAAAAAAUUAAUAUUACAUAAAAAAAAAUCUACCAUUGUUGUGAAUCUAUGUGGGAAGCAUCCUAACAAUUACAAAACAGAUGGAAAUAAGAUGAAAUAAAAGGAAUGAAAAGAAAUAAGAUAAGGGUAAUUUCAGAGAGAAUCAAGCUUUUCGCUAACCUUCUAUUAACUCUUUUGCUUAUUUGAAAAUUAUAUAUAUGUUUUGUUGAAAACUAAGAAGGAUUAAAUUGCUCAAACUAAAACUACUUCGGCAACAUAAGAAUUUUGUUAAACUAAAAGAUUUUGUUGAUAUUUUACAGAGGAACACUACAACACUCAUGGCUCACUCUUCUUUCUCUCUAAUAAUUUUUCACCCUUCACUUGAUUCCUACAACAAAGACCUUAAAGGUAUUUAUAGUAACCUAGAACUAAUACAAACCACACAAAUAUUAAAUUACAAAAAAUAUGAAAACCACAUUUUAUAAAUAUCUCCAAAUAUUUAAAAAAAAUCUAAACUUAGAUAUUUUUGUCUUCAUUAGAUAUUUUAGGUUAUAAAUAUCUCUUAUUCUCUAUACAAUUCUUGAAUCUUCCAUGAAUUGGGCUUUGAACUUGGGUUUGGACAAAUGUAAUUGAAUUAGAUCAUGAAAUUGGUGUUGGACUUUUGACACUCUCCUUCAACACCAACUUUCAUCCUUCAAUCCAUAUUGAGCUGCUAGUGAAACUCUUCAAACUUCGUGGUACUAAAACCUUUUGUAAACAAAUCCACAACUUCAUGUUGCAAGACCUUUUUCCCUGAUGAAGUCAUAAUGCGCCUUCAUAUGUUUAGUUCUUGCAUGGAAAACUAAAUUUUCCACCAAGCUAAUUGCCAAUUGAUUACCACAAUACAAUGGUACUGGAUAAUAUACUAGUUGGUGUAGAUCCUUCAUCAACUGCAUUAACCAAGUACUUUUUUGAGCUGCCAUCACUAUUGUUGUAUACUUGCUUCUAUGGUUGCACUAGAAAACUACUUUAGACCCCAUUCUCAAAAUAUAUGUAGUAGUUGAUCUUCUUGUAUCAUGAUCUCCAGCACAGUGAGCAUCAAAAUAGCCUGCCAGCUUACAACUUUCAAUAUUCUUGUACAAUAGACCGAAGUCGAUUGUACUUUUUACUAUCUCAGUAUUCGUCAAAUUACUUCCAAAUAAGGCUUCUUUGGAUUAUAUGUACUGACUCAUUAUAACCACUGCAUAUGAAAUGUUUAGUCGAAUCCAUUAGGUAGAUUAAAUAACCUAACAAUUGUCGAUAUAUUGUUCUAUCUUGUAAAUCUUUGCCUUCAUAUGUGCACAAUUUUGCAUUGACUUCCAUUGGAGUUAAGAUUGGCUUGCAUUCCAACAUUCUAAACUUCUUUAGCAAGUCUUUAGCAUAUUUUUGUUGGCAAAGAAAUAUCCUCUCUUCUGUUUGAUCAAUCUCUAGACUAAAGAAGUGCUUAAGCUAACCAAGUUCUUUCAUCUGAAAGUGAACUAAUAAUUUCUCUCUUGUUAAUUGAAUCUCUUCUUCAUCAUCACCAGUAAGAAUCAAAUCAUCCGUGUACACAAGUAUAGUUGAUAAAUUUCCUUCAUCAGCAUUUAUGAAUAAGCUAGAAUCUGUAUGUACCACUAAAUAACCAUACUAAGUUAAAAAUUCAGCAAUCUUACCAUACCAUGCCUUUAGUGCUUUCUUUAAACCAUAAAGUACCUUUCUCAACUUACUUACAUAUUUCAGAUAAGUUUUAUUCUCAAAUCCUCUAGGUCGUCCAAGCCUCAUACUUUUGGCCACACAUAAAAGACAAUAUCAAGGUAGACAUGUAGACUUGUCUUGUGUGCCAACAAGACAAGACUAAUCACCCACUUCUGGCUGUAGAACUUUCGAUUUAUUCCUUAAUGUAGAAAGGCAUUUUUUACAUCUAUCUGCUACAAUUUCCAUUCUUUACUAGCUACGAGUACAAGUAAGACUCUUACUGUUAUAAGCUUUGCCACCAAAAUAAAUGUUUUAGCAUAGUCUAACCCGUAUUGUUGUGAGAAUCCUCAAGCUAUCAACCAAUCUUUAUACCUUUCAAUUGAAUCAUCUAGGCGCUUUUUAAUCUUAUACACCCAUUUGUAAAAUUUUGCUUUUGUAUCCUUUGGUUUUGGAACCAUAUCCCAAGUUUGAUUCCACUUAAGUGAGGAGAUUUCUUCCUCCAUUACCUUCAUCCAAUGAGAAUUAUUUACUAUUUCUGCUAAUGUCUUAGGUUCUUUUAUUUUUUUCUUCUUCUGCAGCUGCUCUAUUAGCGUACCUGAGAUUUGGAUUUCUCAUUUUUUUUUUGGAUCAUCUAAAUUGAGAUUUAGGAUUCUUCAUCUUCAAUACGGCUCUGGUGAAAACUUGUCUUCUAAGGACUUCAUGCCUCAUCAUGCUCGAUAUCAUCAUCCUUUGGAUUACCAGAAUCUUUAAAUUUUUUCUAGCUUGGGUAAAUUUUAGCAAUUCAUUCCUUCAUUUGAUCUUAAAUUUCUUUUAAAUAUGGUAGCGUUUCUUUUUUGAAAGACCACCACAAAGAUGAUUCAUCAAACACCAUGUUUUGUGUUGUGCAACAUCAUCCACUAGUAAGAUUACAAUACCUCCAUCAUUUCCUAUGGUAGUCAUACCCAACAAAGAUACAAUGAAUCAUUUUCUAGUCAAAUUUGCUUCAUAAAUAGCUUGGCAUAAAGACAUAGCACGCACAACCGAAUACACGAAAGUGGUUGACUAUAGGCUUUACAUUUCACAACUUCUCGUAAGGUGAUAUGAAAAUUAGUUUUGCUGAGGAAGUCUAUUGAUCACAUAAGUUGCAUCUUCAUAGAUUCAGCCCAAAAACUCCCUGGUGCAUUCUUUCCCUAGCUAAAUGCAGGUUCUUUCGUUCUACGACACUGUUUUGUUGUAGUGUAUUGGCACAAGUGAACCGAUAGAGUAUCUUAAAAUCUCGAAGAUACUAAGUGAACUCAUAUGAUGUAUAUUCUAUUCUAUUGUUUGUUCAUAGACAAGAAAUCUUCUUUCUUACUUCUCCGUCUACUACGUCUCUAGAUUCCUUAAACUAAGGGUGGGCAUCGGUUCGGUUCGGUUUCUAGAUAAUUUUUUUGUUUUGGUUCGGUUCGGGUCCAAAAUUCAAAAAAUCCGUUUGGUUUUUAGAGAAAAUAAAAACCGAACCGGAACAGAUAGUUCGAUUUGGUUUGGCUUCAGUUUUUCAGUUCGGUUUCGAAUUUUCGGUAACGGAUCGGAUUAACAAAUCGGUUUUUCUGUUUAUCUUAACUUGCACACAAGGCCUACCAUAAUUAAUUAUAAUCAGCAAAAAAAUUACAAAUUUGUAUAAGCAAAAAAAAUUGUAAAAUUUUGGACUAAACUGAAUAAUUUUCAAAAUCAUCAUCACUGUUUUUAAUAUCAAAACUUUUGGCUCAAAACAUAAAUAAAAUAAAAUAAGUUUCUGCGCCAUAAUAUAACUUAUAAAAAACAUAAGGAUCAAACUGUUAUUUUGCCUUGUUGACUUUUGGUCAAGGACUUUUUUGAAAAGUUUGCAAAACAUGUUAGGCCAUAACAAAAUUUCUAUAUGCAAAUAUUUUCUAAAUAUUGGGCCAUACUAAAAUUUUAUAAAAGAGAUGGACCCGAAUGAUAUUAUUGGUUUGGUUCGGGUUUUUUAAAGUUUGAUCUGAAAUCCGAACCGAACCGAAAUACUCAGUUUUUUUCAAAUAAAAAACUAAACCGAAACAAAAAAAAAAAUGACCAAACCAAUUUUUUUUCGGUUCUGGUUCAGUUUUACCCACCCCUACCUUAAACUUUGAAAAAGUAUCCAAUUUUUCUUUCACAAAAAAAAAAAUGACACACCUGCAGAAGUCAUUGAUAAAUGUGACCAUAUAUCCCAUACCACUGAUAGAAGGUUGCUUGAUAGACCUAAACACAUUAGAGUGCACCAACUCUAAUAGUUCUUUUGCUCUGAAUUUCGACUCCUCAUAUGGGAGUUGGUGAGUCUUGCCAUACUAACGCCUUGCAUAUACCUUGUCUAUUCUCAUAUCAAGUUGAGGCAGGCCUCUGAGUAUUGACUUGUUCAUCAUCACCUUCAACUUAUAAUAGCUAACAUGUCGCAACAAAGCUUGCCAUAAAUUUACUGUCUCAUUCUUUCGUGUCUUAUUUACAUAAGUAGACUCUGCUGGUAAUACAUAGACUGACUUUAACCUUCAUCCUUCUAUAAUAUGUGUCCCCGAAAUCUUUACGUCUUGAUACAUCCUGGCAUUUUAAGGAUUGAACAAGACAUAGUUGACUAAUGAUGUUAAUUGUGAUACUGAGAGUAAGUUUUCUUUAUGCCUGGGGCAUAAUAUACAUCUUGAAGUGACAUUUUGUGCGGAUCAUAUCAAGGUGUAAGAAAUGUAGUGUCAUCAUAAGCUAUUGGCAAUCGCGAGUUAUUUGUUGUUAUUGCCACGCGACCUCCUUUGUACUUAGUCAUGCUUAUAACUUCUUUUUAUCACCAGUCAUGUGAUUUGAACACCCUGAGUCGAUGAUCCAAUCACUCUCGUAGUUGAUUUGGCUAGGUAUUGUGACUACAGAGUUAACUUCUCUUUCUCAAUGGCGAUUGAUGCUUUGGUUUCCCAUUCCUUAUUAUUGUCCUUCUUCUAAUUGGAAGUGGCAACAUUAUUCCCCUCAGACUUUUUCUUAAACCAGCAAUCUUCUACCAUAUGGCCCUUCCUUCUACAAUUGUAGUAAUUCCCUUCAAACUUUUUUUUAGCUUGUAUUGGCCACCAUUGCCGCUAUUCUUUUGUGCUCCUCUAGUUUAUGAGCUACCUUCUUGUUGAUGACCUCUUGACUCAUCAACAUCUCCUUUAGAUCCUCUACCAUUAUGUUGUCUAAAUUGAUGUCUCUUCUUAUCAAUUAAGAGCACUUCUUUAUCAUUUUAUACUGAAGCCCCACUCAUUUGCUUGUCAAUCACUUCUUGAUUAGCAAGCAAGUUUUCAAAUUCCUUAAAGGUUGGUUGAGUUAGCCUACUUGAACAAUUGUAACAAAGCUCUUAAACUCAGGCCUCAAACUAUGGAAAAUAAUUCUCUUCAUUCUAGAUUCAUAAAUUAUAACAGUAUAAUCUUAGAAAUUUACAGCAUAAACACUUUACGUUACUGAAGUACUCAUCAAUUUUUAUGUUUCAUUGUGAAAUUGAUAGUAGCUCAUUCUCUAGAAGUUGUAGCCACAUGUUGUUCUUCUUCAAAAAAUUGUUGCAAAAGUGUCCAAAACUUUCUUAGGCGUUUUAGCCUUUUUUUUGUAUUGUAGUAUAUCCUCUUCAAAUGUACUCUUGAUAGCGAACAUAAGCUUCCCAACUUUAAUAUUCCAACCUCUUUAAAGCAGCAUCCUCAGUUGGUGGUUUCAUAUUGUUACUGCAAACGAUCUCCUAGAGGUCUUGGCCUUAUAAAUAGGAUUCCAUCAUUGUUGUCCAUGUAUUGAAAUUUCUAUUGUUGAGCUUCUUGACUCCUCCAACUACUUCAAGGUCACCUAUCAUAUUUACAAGACUUUGACAAUGCCAAGCAAACUUGAUCUUCACCAACGAACUUGCAGAAUUUCAAGCUCCUUACAAUUUAACAAAACUCCACCAAAUGAUCCUCGAUCAUCCUAGCUGUACUCCUAUAGCUUCUCCACGAUAGUCUUGGACUGUUGUGAAUGUUUAGCACCACUGCUGCUGUGGUCUACAACCAAUCACGGCAUCAAUACUGUAAUGUCGUCGUUAAAAUCACGGUAUCAAUACUAUGAUUAUUGUGUGCCGUUAGAUUAAAUCAACGAUUCACAAUAAUUAUAAUUCAAUAAAAGAAAUAAAUUAAAUUACAUAUAACCGGUUACAAGCCGGUUAAAUAUUAUUUUAAAAGUAAAAUUUUACCAGUUUAAAAUUAAAGAAAGGGGGUUUUCCUAUUAAAAGAAUAAUAUAAUAUAAAGGCAAAAUUCAAUCCGUAAUUAAUGAAUUACAAAUAAGAAAGCCACACCUACCCCUGCGUUAACUUCCGUUCGAGUGCGUCGACAAUACCUCUGCAGAUUGUAGUCAUCCUUUAGCUAAUUUUCUGCCUUUCAAUUGUUGCGUCUCUACUGUCGCUGUCUUCGUCUUGGUUUGUUCAUCAUCACUCGUGCAAGGUAAGUUAAUCAUUGGCUUCCAACUUUAGAGAGUCGAAGGUUUCAUGUUAUGCUAAGCAGUUGAGUUCCAGAUCUCUCAAUCAAUUUUAUAUUAUCUGAUAUAGUAUUCCUUCUGUGCACAAUUUUUCAUGCUCACUCUGUUUUGGUCCUCUGGCAUGAUAAGAGAGAAAGAGAGAGAAAGGAGCAUAGAAACUGUAGAAUAAAUUUUCUAUUUUUUCAUCCUCUAUCUCUUGUUUCUUUUAACUCUUAAUGUUAGCAGAAUUAGCAUAGAAACUGUAGAAUAAAUUUUCUAUUUUUUCAUCAUCUAUCUCUUGUUUCUUUUAACUCUCAAUGUUAGCAGAAUUAAGUCAACAUCAAUAUGUUGGGAAAAUAUGCUCUUUAAAAGUAUAUGUGUUUAUUUAAUUGUAAUAAAUAUUUUUUCUGAUUAAUAAAAUUAAUGAGGUAUUUUAUUCAAAUAUCUUAAUUGCAUUAAUAUUUUUAUUAAAGUCCAUUUAAUCAUAUUAUAUGUAUUUAUGUGAUCACCAUGUGGAUUCACAGAAGACAUAAAUACAAGUUAUCUUAUGAUUAAAUAAAUUUAGUUCGCAGUUGAUAAAUAAAGUUGGGCACUUUAUUUAGGUAUAGACUGUAAUAAAUUCAUUGAAUGAUUUGUCUUAAUCAUGUAUGAAUUUAUUAAUGUAGUGCGACUACAUUGAACAAGAUCACAUAUGAGAUUUAAUUAACUUUGUAAUAAUUGUCAGACUUAUUAAAUCUCAUAGGCAUUGAUUUUACUGUAAUCUUAAUCUUGAGUUAAUUAUGAUUUCAUUAUUGUAAUUGUUAUUCCAUUUGAGUUACCAAUGGGCAUGACACAUACUUGUAGUCUAGUAUACCCGGUAUCUUGGUGGGAGCAUUUAUGAGUAUUGGAGUUAUAGAUUAACAAUAUAGAAUUUGUACAACACAUCUCUUGAUGGGUUUUCGGCACUUGAUCAUAGAAUUCUCUGGCCAGAGUGUGUCAACAUAUUUAGUAUGUUGAAAAUGAUCAUUAGAGAAAACCAGUAAGGAUCAAGGAAUAAGAUGUUAUUAAAUUGAUUGGACAGUUGAGAUAUCAAUUUAAUUAAUGAUGUGAUACAAAGGAUUGUGCAGUAAAGAAAUCAAUGUGGCUUGAGACGAAUUAUUAUUCGAGCAUACAAUUAUGGAGGUCAAUUCCAAUCUUUUAGUGGAGUAGAUUUGGAAUUAAAUAAUUAGGCUAGUUUAAUUACAGGCCUAAUUGUUAUAGCCACUAUUGUAUGUUCCCAAAUGAUCCCCGGGUUAGCUUAUUUAAUUGACUGCACCACUAUUGGACUAAUAAGCAAGAUAACUGGCUAUUUGGGUCAAAAGCCUAAAUAUAUCAUUUAGUGGGAGGCUCCAUUUAAUUAGCUUAUGUGUAAAGGACCUUAUGUUAUUUUACAUGGUGGGUCCCCUAUUAAAUGAAAAGUAACGUGAGUUUUAUUUUGGGUAAUUAUUUGGAGCCUAGGGUUUUCACUAAAGUGAGAUAUAUAAGGCUUAUUUUCUCUAAAGGAAAACAGUGAAGCCACUUUAUACAGAUCAGAGAAUAAGAUUUUUCUCUCUAUUGUUGAAAGAAAAAUUCUCGUGCUAGUUGCUUUAGUAGUGAUAAAGGUGCACACACAUCAAGUGCAGAUCGAACCUGAGUCAUAACCUGGAAGAUCAUUGGUGACAGUUCGUGAUCUAACAAGCGUGGUGGUGACGGAUCGUGAUCUAACAGGAGUGGUGGUGGCGGAUCGUGAUCUAGGAGACUAAAUCACUUCAGCGGGAAAAGCCAACUCGGAUUUUCAAGGUACAAUUUCUAGAAUAUAAAUUCUUAUAUAUUAUAUGAGAGCGAUCUUCAAAAGGUUUUAUAAAAAAUUUAAAAACCUUAUUUUUCCCCAACACAAUAAUCAUGUCCUCUUACCAUUAUUCUCUCCAUCAUCAUCAUUGCUCCCACUUCAUUCCCACACAAGUCAAAAAGUCAUCAUUAAGAAAGAGAUUAUUAGAAUAGCAAAUUAGCCCUCGUAAUUUCUUUCAUGUGUAUGAAAUUCUAUCUCAGUCAAUCUAGGUCUUUGUUUUGAGUGAAGGGUUGUAUUUUCCUUUCACGUUUCAACACUUUGAAGACAUUGACUUUUGGGGAAUCAAGCAUCUUGGUCCAAUCAUUUGAUUUGCUGCAUCAAGCAAAUUUAAGUUGCUCCAUCUUCUCAGCCGGUUUAAUUUCUUUGCAUAAUUUUGCCUCAAUUACUCAAGUUUUCUUUCCAUAUUUUUUUAAAAUUUAUUAGGAUUAAUUUCUCAUAUUUUUGAAUUAAUCAUAUGGUCAUAUAGUAAAUAAGAGCUAUACCUCCAAAAUCAUCGACCCAUCCAUCAUGACCAUUCAUAGAACAGAAUCAACAUAAGUCGUGACACGCCGAAACGACCACCACCAAGUAAACCUAUUUUUGGUAUAAUUGUUUGUUUACUAUAAAUAAUUUCAACAUAUACUCUAAUUACAAGUAGGGAUUAAUCAAUGAUACACAAUAAUUAUAAUAUAAUAAAAGAAUUCAAUUAAAUUAUAUUUUACUGGUUACAAGUCGGUUAAAUAUUGUUUUAAAAUUUAAACUUUAUUGGUUUAAAUUUUUUUUUAUAAAAAAAGGGAUUUGACUUUUAAAAGAAUAUAUAUAUAUAUAUAUAUAUAUAUAAACUUGGCGAUUUGCUUUUGCUUUCUCUUUGGCUUUGUGAUUUGAGUGGGAAACCUGAGUGGGAAACCAAGAGGAGAGUUGGGUUUUCCAGAGAGGUUAAUAAAGAAUAAUCUUUUUACAAUUAGGACUUAAGAGCAACAAUAUUGAUGAUUUGUCGAGCGGUGUAAUCGCAGGAGAUGUUGGUUUCAGCAUUAGUAAUCUCUUUAUUCAGAUUGUAGAAUGGGGAAUUUUGGAGUGUGAUCCAGGGAUUCUAACAGUCGCAAUCGUGAAUUUUUUUCAUGCAUUAACUUUAUCAAACAUUCAAACCAUAGAUCAGGAUUCUCUCCUGAUCUGAUCUCUUCUUGAGUAAAAAUACAUGUCAGUGAUUGGUAGUCAAUAAAUAAAAAAAUAAAGAAAUUAAAUCUUAUCCAUACACUAUCACUUAAAGACACAUAGCACAAGAUCUUUAAAAACUCAUGAGAGUUCAGAUCAGGAGAGGAUCUUUAUCCUCAAACCAUAUAUGCAAAAUGAGUUUUAUCUUUUGAUACAGUGGUGAUUGGCCUUUUUUAAUUGGUAAAAGCACUUUAGCACUUAUGAUUUGUGUGAAUCAAGAAAAGGGGAAAGUGAUUAUUUUUUUAAGAAAUAAAAAAGAGUCUUUACUCUUUAAUUAGACUGGAGUUUGCUGCUAGUUCGUGUUUAAAAAGCAAAUUAAAAGUAUUGGACAUUUGAUUGAAUCUUUUGUUCACCUGAAUUAUUGGAAAUUGAAUCCCAUUUUGCUCCUCUACUUUUACUCUUUUUUAUUUUUUAAUUGUUUAUCUUUAUAUAUUUUAUUACAACAUUACAAUAAUUAUAUUCAAUCAAAUGCCUACUGAAUAUGUAAAUUUAUUUAAUUAUAGCAUAGAUGAGCGGUAGACCGAGCAUACCUUGAAAAUUUACAACUAAUAUAAAUAAAAUUUAUAUUACACAAAUAAAUAUUACAAGUUAGAAUGAGUUCCAAGGAGAUAAUAAAGGGAAAUUUUGUUGGUUAAAAAUAAGUUUUUCUCAAAAAAAAAAAAAAUUCAGGAUCGAUCUCAUACAAUACAUAAGAAUUCAUAAUCUAGAAAAUCAUACCUUAACAAUCCGAGAAAAUGAAUAAUCGAAAUUAAUCUAGGCUUGCAGAUCACGAUCUGUCACCACCACUCUUUUUGUUGGAUCACGAUCCGUCAUCACCACGCUUGUUGGCUCACGAUCUGUUACCACCACACUUUCGUUGUGCUUGUUAGAUCACGAUCUGUCACCAAAUAAUCUUCCAGGCUAUGACUCAAUUUUGAUCAACAUUGGACGUGUGGGCGUCCGUUUCACUACUUCCAAAACAAAGCUUCCUCUUUUGUGUUUUUCUGAAAACGUGUAUUUUUUAAUCACGUACCUCCUUAGGCUUGAGAAAAAUACACUUGUUUAAUAUCUCUUGUAAAACCCUAGAUAUGUAUUAUUAUAAUUCAAUAUAAAAUAUUUUGAAUUUAAUAUUAUCUCUCCACUUAUGUGAAAGUGGAGAUCAUGUGCAACCACUUUGGGGCCCACCUUGUAAAAUAACACAAGGCCCCAUUUGUGCAUGAGUAUAAUACAUAAGGUCUUAACAAAUAUUAUAAUUAGGUUUAUCACCUAAUAUGCCAAUUUUCUUAUUUUUAGGUCCAAUAGUGGUACAGAAAAUUAAAUGAGCUAACCCGAGGAUCAUUUGGGAACAUACAAUAGUGGCUACAACAAUUAAACUUGUAAAUGAACAAGCCUAAUCAUUUAAUUCCAACUCUACUCCACUAUAAGAUUGGAACUGUCUUCCAUAAUUGUAUGCUUGAAUAAUAAUUCAUUUCAAGCCACAUUGAUUUCUUUAUUGCAUAAUCUUUUGUACUACAUCGUUAAUUAAAUUGAUAUUUCAACUAUCCAAUCAAUUUAAUUACAUCUUUUUCUUUGAUACUUACUGGUUUUCUCUAAUGACCAUAUUUAACAUACUAAAUAUGUUGACACAUUCUAGCCAGGGAAUUCUAUGAUCAAGUGCGGAAAACCCAUCAAGAGAUGUAUUGUACAAAUUCUAUAUUAUUAAUCUAUAACUUCAAUACUCAUAAUUGCUCUCAUCAAGAUACUGGGUAAUCUUGACUAUAAAUACAUGUCGUGCUCAUUGGUAACUCAAAUGGAAUAACAAUUACAAUUAUGAAAUUAUAACUAACUCAAGAUUAAGAUUACUGUAAAAUCAAUGCCUAUGAGAUUUAAUAAGUCUGACAGUUAUUACAAAGUUAAUUAAAUCUCAUAUGUGAUCCUAUUCAAUGUAGUCGUACUACAUCAAUAAAUUCAUACAUGAUUAAGACAAAUCAUUAAAUAAAUUUGUUACAGUCUAUACCUAAAUAAAGUGUCUAACUUUAUUUAUCAACUGCGAUAUAAAUUUAUUUAAUCAUAAGAUAACUUGUAUUUAUGUCUUUUGUGAAUCCAUAUGGUGAUCACAUAAAUACAUAUAAUAUAAUUAAAUGGACUUUACUCAAAAUAUUAAUUCAACUAAGAUUCUUGAAUAAAAUAGCUCAUUUAUUUUAUUAAACAGAAAAAUUAUUUAUUACAAUCAAAUAAACACAUAUGCUUUUAAAGAGCAUAAUUUCCCAACAAAAUUAAGUCUAUAGUUAACCUAGAGAAGCAUGCUUGAAACGUAGGGAUUCAAUUGUGUUUGUUACUCUGAAUACAUGCUUUUCAAAAAAUAUGGCACCCUCUCUCAAUUAAUCUUAAAAGAUUAGCUAAGAGCUAUUACAGUGGUGUUUUUUUUUUUUUUAAUGUUGCAUGACAAUUUAUUAAUUUUACCAUAAGAAACAUAAAGUGAAUAGUUUAGAAAUGAUUAAUUUCUCUAGAGUAGUAAGGGGUUUUAGUCAUUACCCCCUGAUGAUAGCUUGAAGUUUUUAGUUGCAAUUUUCAAGUUAUUCGUUACAAAUUCUAAUAAGUUUUCUUUUAUUAAUGUAGUUGUCUAACAUUUUUCAAAUUUAAAUUUUACAAUGAGAUGCAACUUUUACUAAUUACAGUUGGGACUAGGUUUAGCUGGUCCCAACUAUCACCUUAGAAAUAUCUCUGGUUCAAAAAUUUUGAGUUAGAUAUUUGAUUUUUUUUUUUUAGAUAGUAGUUAAUUUACUUCCAGUAUAUGAUCACAAUUAUUAUAGUUGUGUUGGGUGCAGAAAAUGGGAAAAUUACAGUAAGUUUGCACAUGGUUUGCUGUCAAAUGGGCAGAUAAACAAAUGUGUGGUGGAUCAUGGAUGGAUGUCUGGAUGGGGCACUGCAUGAAGAAUGACUUUUAACAACAACCAAUCAGGGGCGGAUCCAGGAUUUAAUAUUACCCCGGGCUAAAUUUUAAAAUUUAUAUUUUGAAGCGAACAUAAAAAUUUAUAAGUAGAAAUAAGUAUAUUAAAUAAGGAGGAAUACCAAGAACUUUAUCUCUCUAAAUAUGUACUAUAAACAAAAAUAAUUAUAAAAAAAGAGUAGAAAACAAAAGACAACUCAAAUAUGAAAUUAUUUUUUAAUUAUAGAAUUUGACAUUGCAACCUAUAAUAACUUGUAAUUAUAUAAGAAUUAAAAAAUCAAUUAAGAAUUUUAAAUUAAAAUAAAUCAAUACAUGUAAUUACAAUCAAUUAAAAAUUGAAAGUAAAACUUUUAUGCUUGAAGUGAAGUACUAAAUUACCUGACUUAAUAAAUUAAAUAAUUAAAAUUUAUUCAUCCUUUCAAAUUGUAAAAGUAUUUUUAAUCAAAAGUUUCAAUAAUAAACUAAACUAAACUCAAUUCAGCAAAAAGAUAUUUGGGUGUAGUUGUUUCUUUGUCAGAUGCUCUAUCUCUCUUUAAAGAACUAGAAGUUGAUGAUUCUUCUAUUAAAAGCUCUUAAAAUACUCAAAUUUUAUUUUCUAACUUGUCCUCUUAGUUAAUAUAACUAAUAAAUAAAAUCUGAAAAUUCACAUUAAAAUUUUAUGAAAACAUUGAUAAUUGUUACUAUAUGUUAUUUCUGUAAGUACUUUUAAGUCUAGUGAUGAUGUUAUAUUACAUUGACAUAUAUAUAUUUUAAUUAGAAGCUUUUUAAAAUAAAUUAAAGCAGUAAUAAAAUUUUAACACCCUAAUGUUUUCAAUCUAUUCAAUAAAUAUAUAAUUUAAUCAUUUUAUAAAAUAAGUCACUAAUUUCAAUUGAAAAUAAUAUAAUUGACUUAGGGACACAUUUAUAAAUAAAAUAAAAACUCUAUUAUUAUAUAAAAUUAAUGAAAACAUAUGGGUAAUUGAGUUAGGGAUAUAUUUAAAUAUAAAAUGAAAACUCUAUUGUUAUACUAAAUUGAUGAAAAUGUAAGGGUAGUUGAGUUAGGGACAUAUAUGAAAAUAAAAUGAAACCUCUAUUCUUUUACUAAAUUAUUAAAAAAGUAAGGGGUGUAAAUGAUUUUUUCUAAACUAGACCGGGCUGCAGCCCGGUCUAGCCCACGUGCGGGUCCGCCACUGCAACCAAUGCUUGUUGCUAAAUGGAUUUCACAACAAACCUUUGCAUGUUGUGGAUGUUGAUGUUGUCUAAACAAUAAUUUUAAUAUCUAGGAAAUACCUGAUAUUAUUAAGAAUUGUAUACUUUACAUGAAUUGAAUGACAACAUUCAAUAGUACUUCUCAUUGACGAUGAAGGAGAUUAAUAUAUAGCAGCAACUCCUCCAAGUCUUUUAAAACAUUAGCAAUAGCUAAUCCCAGUCCCCCAGAUAGAGUUUUAUAUAUAUGGCUGCCUUUCACAAAGUUUUUAGUUAGCUUAGUUCAGGAAGAAAAAUUAUAGUAUGUAUAUAUGAACUAUCAAGGUUUUACUUCAAUUCAACCUAAUUUAGGACUAUUAAGCACUAAUUAUGUUUACAAAAAUUAGCUUGGUGGGCAACUAUGACACAGUAACUUUAAUUGAGUAUGGAAAAUUAUUUAUGGAAUAGCUCAUAAGAAAAAAUAAAAUACCUAGUGAAUACUUUGCAGAAAAGGAAGUUCGAAUAUUGAAUUAUCAAUAAUCAGCUAUUACUUAAUAAAACUUUUGAAAGACUUUUCUAUUGUAAUUUUAGUAAUAUACUACAUCCUUUGUGAUUGAAAUAGUGCAACAACUUAAGAAAGAUUAAUUGCUCUCUCCUGUUGACUUUCUACAAGCUCUGAUUAAAUACAUGAUAAAGAAUACUUAAAAGACUAUAAUGAAAAAAAUGAAAUGACUAUAUUACUUAAACCACAAAAACAAAGACUUUAAUGAAAAAUAAAAUGACUUAAAAGUAGCUUUAAAAAGAAGUCCAGAAAGAAUACUUUUAUGGUCUUUAACAUAAUCACUGUCUAUAAAUAUAAAUGAUAUAAAAUCCAUAGAUUAUAAGAUAUUCCUCACUAAAAAUACUUGUUUUUUACUCACAAGUAAGUUUCAUAAUUUAUAAAUCAAGUAGUCAGCCCAAGAAUUGUUUAUGUAAUCACAUAAACUAUAAUUUAUUAGCAUCAUACUUCUUAGUUUUAUGGAAGUCAAAAAUUCCAAAAUAGUUCAUGUGGAGAAAGUUCUAUCACAAAACAAUUAAAAUAAAUGCCUCAAUGAUUAACCACACAAUUACCUAAAUCACCAGCAGCUUUAGUUGCUCGCUUACAUCUUCAGCACAGACAUUUGCCAUAAAUCUUCUUAGUUGUUUAUCCAACUAUUUUAUCACAAUAUAUUGGUUGUCAAAAUCACCUGAUUUCGCAAAGUUUGCAGUCAAAAGCAUAACUCAAACCAACUAGUAAUUAUAUUGGAAAAUUACUCACUCAGUCAAUUGUAAGUGAAGCUUGCAUUUCACUUGUAUUAUGCCAAAAAUUACAAAUGUUUGCGGACUAUUAUCAUCAUUAUCACAUUUACAGGGGCUCGACGAAGUUUUCCUUGAUGAUUAUUUGAGAAAAUUUGAUCCACUUUGGGAUUUUUUUAGUUUUAAAAUUUCAUAUCUAGAUAAUGUCCCAUUACAAUCAAAUGGAGCUGAUUGCGGCUUGUUUGUGAUGAAGUUCAUGGAGAUGCAGUGUGAUAUAGUAUCCAUAAAAUAUGUAUGUGACAUUAUUUUUAUAUCAUAGUGAUUCAAAUUUUUGCAAUGAAUGAUGACUAUUUCUCUCUUUUUUUUUCUUAAUUUUUAUAGCACUUUGUAUAACUCAACAGUAGAAAGAUAUCGAAUCGCACUCUAGCUUGUCAACGGAGAUGCAAACAAGAUGAGAGAUAGUAAUAGAGAUAAAGCUUAAUUAUUUCAUGAGUUUAUAAAGGGAAGAAACGAAAAAUUCUAUAUGGGUAAUUUGGUAAUUGCUAAUAAAAAGAAGGCAUAUGUGGGAGUGGAGAAAUUCUAAAAUACGUCGGAAAUAAUACAACUAACUAAUAUAUGAAUGACAUAUUUAAUUGCAUUUAAUAACCACUUGCAUAGUAAUUUUUCAAAAUAAAUAUACACAUGUCAUAAUAUUAUCUGCUUGUUGUAUAGCUCACAUGGUACUUCUGAUGUAUUCUAUAAUUUUUCAUGGAGUGUAGGUGGGGAAGCCUUCUCCUUUUCUCGUUCCCUUUAGAAUUUGUCUCAUAUUUUUUUGUCUUAUUCUCUAAUGACUUUAGUGAAGUGAGGAUGGUGAAUGCCAAAGUCAGAAUCAAUUUUUCAAUUCACAUCCCAUUACACAUUUAGCUAUUUUAUAAAAGAUUCUUACAUAUAAUUUCAGUAAAAUAAAAAUUAAGACUAACUCAAAUAAACCAUCACUAAUAUAUUAUAAAAUAUUUAAAUUAUUAAAAAAAUUAUAAAAAUAAUAACAGAAAAAUAUACAUAUCCAUUAAGAAUUUGGGAAACACAUCAAAAUUUGGGGGGGGGGGGACCAGUGGAGUCCCAAACUCGUGAAUUGUUGUGAAAAAUUUAAUAUACUCACAAGUGCACAAAUCUAGAAAUAGAAUAGUAGUAACGAGGUCAAACCCACAAAAAUUGUUAUAAAUUAAAAAGUCUAAUUUAAAUCUAAAAUUAAUAUUAAUUCUAACUUAGUUGAGCAAAUUGAGUUUUUAAGAAAAUUAAACUAAUUAAACUAAGAAAACAAUUAAAGUAAAGGAGAAUUCAGUAAGACAAAAUUUAUCAAGAUUUCUGAAUCCACCAUUAUUCAACUAGUAAUUAUCUAAAUAUUAAUUAAUCCCCAAUUUUAGAGUGACAACUCGAAAUCAAUCUAUGUCAUCUCAUGGAUACAACAAUUAAGCCCAAGUAAUUAAAUCUAAUAUAGGUUCUUUUUAUACUUAAUAGUAUGAUAUCUAAGAAUCACGUGUAAACAUAUUAAAUAACAAAGAGUCAAAAUUUUCGUAAGCACUUUGUGUAAACAAUUUAAUGAAAGACACAUAAUCAAAGAUAAUUAUGUAUAAACUUUAUAGAUCCAAGUAUAGAUUUAGUCAAAUAUUAAUCUUAACAAUCAAUAAUUAAUGACAAAAUUGGUGAAAAAAUUUAAUAACAUCCAAUUAAUUAUGUGAAACAAAAACCAUAAACAUUAAAGCACACAUGUAGGGAAUUAAUUAAAUAAAAAGAUAAUUAUUUCAUUAAAUAAAGUUUUAUCAUUAAUCUCAGUAUAAGAAAAUUAGCUAAACAUACUUGAAUUGUGAGCAACAAAAUAAAUAAAAUCAGCCAUGGGAAGCCGAACUAAUGCUGCUGCCGCUGCUCUGUAUUCUCUGCCGCUGCUCUCUAUCCUCUCAAAAGCCAAAGUCAGCUUUUAUAGUUAGCUAAAAUGGGCCACGGACCUUGUCAAUUUUAAAGCCAAAGGCCUUUUAAUUUGUUUUGCUCUCACACGUGCUCAUCACUUGCAUUAGGAUUCAUUCUUUUUUCCACUUAUGAAAGCCAAGUGCGGGUCCCUUUAAAUUGCUUUCCAUAUAUUACAAUGCCAUGCAAUUGCUUCUCACGUGCUGGCCACUUUUAAAGCUAAAAUCACUUUCUCUCCUUUGUCCACAUGUGCAUGAUGAAUGAAUUUGUUGAGUUCGGUUCUUUGGCUUCACAUGCAUAUUUGCCUAAUUGCUCCCAAAAAUCAAUUAAUCUUUAAUGCUUCCGAAAUUGAACUCUUUUAAGCCUUUUUUUUUUUAUCUAUAAUCUCAUAUUAAUUUCCUAUUCAAUAAAACAAUUCAAUUAAUUAAAAAUAAAAAAUAAAAAAAACUAACAAAUAUACAAUAAAAGAUAACAUAUGUAUAUGAAUUAUGCUCAUCAUGAACCAUUUCUAGUUGGCCACAUUGGACUUUUUACGAUCGGUGUUCAAAGAACUUUUAGAAAGGAAGCAGAUAAUAAUUUGAAUGAAAUUACUGCGAAAGUUCCCUGAAGAUUCGAGGGAGUAGUAGAGCAUACAUAUCAAGAGCACAGACACAUUCUAUUAUUAUCGCAUCCUAUAUUUUUUUCUGAUCAAAAUCAUUUUAAUCAAUUCAUUUGAACUGCUGUUAUGUUUUCUUCUUCUUCUCAUUCAUCCACCAGUUUGAGUUUGAUGAAACCUCGAAACAACAAUAAGUAUUACGUUUUCCUGAGUUUCAAAGGAGAGGACACCCGUGAUGACCAACUAUCUUUAUUCAGCUUUGUCUCGAAAAAGCAUCGAAACUUUCAUUGAUGACCAACUAAACAGAGGAGAUAAAAUUUCACAGUCUCUUGUGAAUGCAAUUGAAGCAUCAACCAUUUCGGUUAUCAUUUUCUCUGAAGGCUAUGCCUCUUCCAGAUGGUGUCUCGAUGAACUUUUAAAGAUCCUCGAAUGCAAGAGAGAGUAUGUACAGAUUGUGAUACCAGUUUUUUAUCGCGUUGAUCCAUCAGACGUGAGAAACCAAACAGGGACUUUUGGGGAUUCAUUUUCGAAGCUUGAAGAAAGAUUUAAAGAGAAUUCAAAGAAGCUGCAGAGUUGGAGGAAUGCUUUGAAGGAAGCAGCCAGUUUGUCUGGCUUUCAUUCUCAUAACAUUAGGCAAUUAAAUCUGUUUCUUCUGAUUAAUUAAUUACUAGCAGCUCUGCUUGCACAAUUCCUCCUUUACAAAUGCUCUGCUAGUUGGUAUUUAUAUAUUUUCAUCGGGUGUUCUGUCAUAUAAUAUAUUAAACACUUUCAAAGUAAGAGCUACCGAGUCAGUCAUAUUUGGUGCAAAUCCUGCCUAGAUAUUUGAACUUACUGCAGUUUUAUGGAUUUGCUAGACCUGAAUCAGAACUUACAGAGGAAAUUGUUAAUCACAUUUUGAAGAGACUGGCUGAAUUGUUUCCGCAUAAUAACAAUCGGUUGGUUGGAGUAGAAUCAAGGGUUGUGGCAAUUGAAUCUCUGUUAAGUGCUGCACCUCUCUUAGCGAUUUGGGGCAUUGGUGGUAUAGGCAAGACAACAAUUGCUAGAGCUACUUUCGAUAAAAUCUCAAGUGAUUUUGAAGGGUCUUGCUUCCUUGAAAAUGUUAGAGAAGAGUCACAACGACUAGGAGGUCUAGCUUGCUUGCGACAAAAACUUCUUUCAAAUUUAUUUAGGGAUGAAAAUAUGAUUCCUGAUAUUGACCUCCACUUUAAAAGGCUCAGCCGCAGGAAGGUUCUGGUUGUUUUUGAUGAUGUGACUUGUUUUAACCAAAUAGAAUCUUUUAUUGGAAGUCUUGAAUGGUUCAUGCCUGAGAGUCAAAUCUUAAUUACCACAAGAAAUAUAUGAGAUGAAGGGUUUAAGAUAUGAUCAUGCACUUGAGCUUUUCAGUCGACAUGCCUUCAAACAAAACCACCCUGAUGUAGGUUAUGAGGAACUGUCAAGCAAGGUAAUACAACAUGCUCAAGGUGUUCCUUUAGCUCUUAAAGUUUUGGGUUGCUUUCUAUUUGGAUGGGAAAAAAAAGUAUGGGAAAGUGCAAUAAACAAAUUAAAACAGAUUCUCCAUCCGAAAAUCCAUGAUGUGCUAAAACUAAGUUACGAUGAUUUGGACGUUAACGAGAAAGGUAUUUUCCUGGAUGUUGCUUGUUUCUUUAAAAGUGAUGAUGUAUAUCCAGUAAUGAAAUUCCUUGAUGCAAGCGGCUUUCACCUAGAAAUAGGAAUAAGUGUUCUUGCUGAUAAGUCUCUCAUUGAUGUUAAUCCAUACGACAGAAUAACAAUGCAUGAUUUGCUGCAAGAAUUGGGUAGGGAAAUUGUCCGACAAGAAUCAAUUAAUCCUGGAAACCAGAGUCGUUUGUGGCAUCAUGAGGAUAUGUACGAAAUUCUUACAAAUAACACGGUAAGCAUUUUGUUAGGAAUUGGUAUUUUGGAAUAAUCUUCGAUUUAUACAAAUAUUAGAGUGUCGAUGAUUGAAAAAAACAGUAAUUAUUGUAGCAAUAAAUUAUAAUUGCCAUUCAACUAUAUAAUUGUUUGUAUAAAUAACUUAUUUGUCAAGUUGUAUAGUAUAUAUUAUAUACAUACACAACCUUUAUGUUUAUGUGUGUUUGACAGCCUAAAAAUCGCUAUCAACUUGAUUUACAUAAAUUUGAUUUUAUAACUUUUUGGUGUUUUACUGAUUAUUAGGGGACUAAAAGUAUUGAGGGCAUUUGCUUGGAUAUGUCUAAAGCGAACGAGAUCCGUUUAAAUCCCAAUACUUUCGUAAAGAUGCAUAAAUUGAGAUUUUUGAAAUUUUAUAACUCAAUAAAUGGAGAUAACAGAUGUAAGGUGUCUUAUUUGCAAGAAAGCCCCGGGUUUGCUGAAGUGAGGUUUCUUCACUGGCAUGGAUAUCCAUUGAAAUCAUUGCCUUCAAACAUUAAUCAGAAGAAACUUGUUGUCAUUGAAAUACCUCAUAGCAAUAUUCAACAAUUUUGGGAUGGUACUCGCCAGGUAUGAAUAUCUUUAUUGGUAUAACUUAAGAUAUCAUCGUUUUUAGAAACACAAUUUUAUACACAAAAUCCUAGCCUUUGAAUUUAUAUAGUUGCUACUAUUAAUACUGAUAUAGAUUCAAUUUUAAAACGGAAAAUAAAAAUAAAGUAAUAUUAUUAAUUCUCCCUCUUAUCUCUCCUUUUUUAUUCUAUCUCCACAUUCACGGAUUCUACUACAUUUUAGAGUGUGAGAACGCCAUUAACAAUUUUAUAAAGAAGCUGUGCUCAAAUGUGCAAGUUUCUCUACUUGCUAUGUUUUUACUCGAAAUGGAUAAAUAAUGAUAUGUUAGUAGAAAAGGAACAAGUUCCAAGCUAGGCUCAGUUUCGUAGGAGGAUAAGUUAUCUACGCCAAUAAUCAAUUCUCCUAUUUGUUUCUAUCUAAUGUGAAAGAUAAAAAUGAAUUAUGGAUAUUGUUCCUGCUUUGCACAGAAUGUGUGAAAUUGUUGCCCAUAAAAGAGAUCUUGUGAUGAAUAAUUGGUUUUUCUUCAUCUUCAUGUUUUUUUUUCUUUAAUCUUUAUUACAUUAGUUAUUAUUUUGUUCUAUAGAAAUUAGAAAGUAUCUCUGUUGACUAAAAAAUUAGCCAAGGCUAAAUGUUUUAAUAACUACAUUUUGGCCUAUAAACAGAAGUUAUUUACAGUAAUACCCAAAUAGUUUGAUAAUUUUUCUAAAUAGUGUUCCAGUUGUUCUGAACAUUUACCUUUUACACCACAUUUUUCUGAACAUUUGCAUUAUGAUCCAAGAUUUACAGUGGUAAAGAAUCUUAGCGUUGUACUCCAAUAAAGAGCUCUUAAUUGAUAUAGCAGAAUGAGCUGUUUAAUUAUUAUGGCAGUACCAAGGAGGGAUUCCUUUCUUUUUUAAUUUGAUAGAGAGUAAUAAUAGAUAUCUCAAAUUUUUUAUCUAAAAUAAUAUAUUAUUAAUUAAAUGGUUGAUAAUUUUUUAUGAGAUCCAAGUGAAUUAAUUAUAAUAUUUCACUAACCAAUUAAUGAGUGCUACAUCAUUUAAAAGAAAAUUUAAAAUAAAAAAUUUUAAAUGUUUAACAAUAUUCUUUGAUAAAAGAAGGGGUUCCUUUAAAUGAUGUAGACUUCAAGUAUGAGCGACUGCACAAUUUUUGUUUUAUCUGUGGCAUUUUAGGACACACUGAUAAAAAUUGCCCCUCAAUAUAUGAAACUGGUGCUACCCCUGUUAUUAAACCUUAUGGCCCUUGGAUGAAGGCUCCCAAUCGGAGAAGCUCGAUGAACACCGGUGACCGUUGGCUCAGAUCGGGAGUGUUGGAGAUAGAUGAGGUGAAAUUUGGUAAUCCCUCAACUUCCACUGUUGAAAUGGCAGUUGACUUGGAAAAUGGCGUGAAUCAUGGGACAGCUGGUCACGGAGACCUUGGGAAGGAAAGUGCUCAAGUCACAAUGAAUUCUAAUAUUCUUGUAACAGGCUGUAAGUCAAUGCGUGUAGAUGGAAUUGACGAGGAACUAAUAGCUAAUCAUUCGAUGCUUGCGAAGGAAACUGAUGUGGAGUAUAAUUCUGCAUUAAUUUUAGUUGAUGCAAAACGGAGAAGAUCAGGAGGUGGGCCUCCUAUCAACUUGAAUUUAGAAGAGCAUGCUGAUACUGAGAUAAUGGAGAUGAGUGAGCACUCAAAAAAUGGACCAGCGGUGGGCCCUGUAUUCCAGGCCCACCGACACCAAUGAGUUGUUUAAGUUGGAACUGCCGUGGGUUGGGCCAACCACGGUCAGUUCAAGCUCUUGUUGAGUUGGUCCAGAAUAAAAGACCGGAUUUUAUUUUCUUGAUUGAGACAUUGUGUUACAGAGAUAAGUUAGAAAGCAUCAAAAUUAGAUUAGGUUUUGAGGGUCUGUUUGUGGUGGAUAGAAAGGGCCGUAGUGGUGGGCUUGCUAUGUUCUGGAAAAAUAGUUUUAAAGUUAAUUUAUUGAAGUUUGGGUGUAAUUUUAUAGACUUUGCAGUUGAGGAUAGUGAAAGGGGCAACUGGAGACUUACUGGUUUCUACGGGUUUCCCGAGUCAUUUCUCAGACAUGAUUCUUGGAAUCUUCUCCGGUAUUUAGCUUCUACUUCGUCGUUACCAUGGGUCUGUCUAGGGGACUUCAAUGACCUCCUCAAUUUCUCAGAGAAGCGCGGCUCUCAUGCUCACCCGCAGUGGAAGAUAAAUGGUUUCAGGGCUGCACUUUCUGAUUCGGGCCUCAUUGAUUUGGGUAUGGAUGGUUACCAGUUCACGUGGGAAAGGUCACGGGGCACUGAAGCUUGGGUUGAAGAACGGUUAGAUCGAGCCCUUGCAAAUUCCGCUUGGGUGAAUCUUUUCCCGCAAGCGAAGGUUCUGUGUCUUGAAGCUUCGAGUUCAGAUCACCUCCCUAUCUUUUUGGAUGUGUCUCCUGUGGUUUUGAGACGACGGUCUAUGAAGUUUCGUUUUGAGAACUCAUGGCUUAGAGAUCCGGAUUGUGCUAAUAUUGUUGAGAAGAGUUGGUCUAUGGUGGGUGGGCUUCCUAUUCUCAGUAAAAUCUCGGCUUGCAGCUUAGAUUUAGUUCGGUGGGGCUAUCAUCGUACUCGGGAUUUCAAAGCUCAAAUUAAGGAGUGUAAGGAUAAAAUGCAUCAGCUUAGGGGCAAACGUGAUGCAGUUAGCUUGGCUGAUUUUAUUGAAGCUCGAGAUAGAUACAAUGAGCUCUUGUAUAGCCACGAAGUUUAUUGGAAGCAGCGUUCGAAGACGUUUUGGCUUCGGGAUGGGGAUUCAAAUUCAAAGUAUUUCCAUGCCAUGGCCUCGUCAAGGAAGCGUAAGAAUACCUUAAUCAAGCUUCGCAAUCAAGAGGGGCAAUGGUGUACUAAUCCUGCGGAUGUAAAUAAUUUAAUUUGUGAGUAUUUCACAACUUUAUUUACUGCUGGGAUUUGUUCCUAUGAUGAUGUGCUUAAUUGUGUGGAAUCUAAAAGUACUGAUGCACAAAAUCAAUCUCUUUUGGAACCUUUUACUGCUGAAGAUGUUCAAUCUGCCGUGUUUGAUAUGCACCCUGAUAAAUCCCCUGGUCCUGAUGGAAUGAACCCAGCAUUUUACCAAAAGUUUUGGAAUGUUGUGGGUACUGAUAUUACUGAGGCGUGUCUUAGGUUCAUUCGGGAUUGUUCUUUCCCUGAGGGUCUUAAUGAGACUUCCAUUGUCCUUAUUCCUAAGAAGAAACAGAUAGAAUUUUUAACUGAUGUUCGACUAAUUUCCUUAUGCAAUGUCCUCUAUAAAAUUGUAGCCAAGAUGCUUGCUAACCGUAUGAAGAUGGUUUUAGGAUCGAUAAUUUCUGAUUCUCAGAGUGCUUUUGUUCCAGGCAGAGCUAUUGCUGAUAAUGUUUUAAUCUCGGCUGAGAUAAUGCACUUUCUCAAACGGAAACGUCAAGGAAAAGAGGGGAUUGCUGCAUUAAAGAUUGACAUGUCCAAGGCUUAUGAUCGGAUUGAGUGGGGGUUUCUUAAAUCGAUUUUACUGAAGUUGGGCUUUGAUGUUGUUUGGGUGAAUCUUAUUAUGCUCUGUGUCACUACAGUUACCUAUAAGAUUACCCGGGGAGAGUUGGAGCUAGGCCCUAUCGUGCCAAGUCGAUGUCUUAGACAAGGAGAUCCGCUAUCGCCAUAUCUGUUUAUCAUCUGUGCAAAGGGGCUGAGUUUGCUGAUAAAUCACUAUGAGAGGGCUGGGAUGAUCCAUGGGGCUCGAGUUGCUAGAGGUGCUCCUUUGGUUUCUCACCUCUUUUUUGCUGAUGACUGUUUUCUUUUCUUUAAAGCUACUGUCCAGGAGGCUCAUCUGGUAAAAAAGGUUUUGGCAACUUAUGAAGCAGCUUCGGGGCAGCAAGUGAACUACAAUAAAUCCUCAAUUUCUUUCAGUAGGAAUGUGGCGGAGGAUACUGUUCAUAAUAUAUGUCAACAGCUUGGAGUUGUAGCUACUACAGACCAUGGUACCUAUCUUGGAUUACCAUCUUAUGUUGGGCGCAAGAAGAUAGACAUUUUCCGAUAUAUAAAGGAUAAAGUUUGGCAGAGAAUUCAAGGGUGGCAUCAGAAACUCCUCUCUAGAGCUGGAAAGGAAAUCUUAAUUAAAACUGUGGCACAGGCCAUACCUAAUUAUGCUAUGGUAGUGGUGGAAUUAGGUGGAUGCAGUAGGGCAGACUUUGUAAGCCCAAAUCUUAUGGUGGUAUUGGGUUUAAACACAUCCACAACUUUAAUGUUGCUAUGCUAGGGAGACAAGGCUGGAGGUUAAUUACAAAUCCAUCUUCGCUGGUGGGCAGAUUGUUUAAAGCACGGUAUUAUCCUAAUGCAGACUUCACUCAAGCAAAGAUGGGAAGUAAUCCGAGUUUUGUAUGGAGAUCGAUUUUGGCUGCUCAGAAGAUUUUAAUCCAAGGGAGUCGUGUCCAAGUUGGAAGUGGACAGAGCAUUACUAUUGGCUCGGUUCCUUGGUUGCCUGAUCAGGAGAGUGGCUUUAUUACAACUAAUCUUCCAGCGACGUUAGCAUCAGCUCCUGUGAGUAGUCUUAUGAUUCCUGAUCACCGAAGGUGGGAUUAUGACCUUGUAAAGGAUGUGUUUAACAGAAGAGAUCGAGACUGCAUUCUCCAAAUUCCUCUUAGCUCUCGGAGGGAUUGUGAUACUUGGUAUUAGUUCCCCGGCGCAAAAGGAGUUUACACUGUUCGGAGUUGUUAUAAGUGGAUGGAUAUUAUAUUGGAACCGCCUGACAGUGGAGUUUGGAAUAAGAUUUGGAAGCUAGCUGUGCCCGCCAAAAUCAAGAAUUUUCUUUGGAGAGCUGUGGCAAAUGUGGUUCCCACUGCUGAUAACCUUCUCAGUCGUCGAGUUGAGGUACACCCUUAUUGUUCUAUCUGUAAUGCAUCUCUUGAGACAAUUUAUCAUGUCUUAGUUGAUUGUCCUUUUGCCAAACAAUGCUGGAUGGUUUCUUUGGUUGGUUUUGCUGGAAAUUUUGUUACUUUUGGAGCUUGGUUGGAUGCUCUAUUUACUCGGUGUAGUAUUGAGGAUAGUUGUCUUGCUGCAAUGGUUUGUUGGGGUCUUUGGCAAAAUCGGAAUACUAAAGUUUGGAGGCAUGUAGUAGGCAGAGUACCUCAAGUGCUCAAUAAAGCUGGUCAAGACUUGUUCCAGUGGCAAAGGGCUCGUCAACUGAGUCACUUUACUCAGAUGCCAGCAGAUUUAACUCUUGGCUCUUUUUGUUGGAAACGCCCUCGCGUUGGAUGGUUUAAAUGCAAUGUGGACGCUGCCACUUCCUGUGCUACUACUAGGAUUAGCUACGGCACAGUUAUCCGGUCUUCUGAGGGUCAAUCUCUUGCUGCAAAAUGUGGAUCUUUGGUUGGCAAUUUUGAAGCCCGUGAGGCAGAGGCUUUGGGUGUGCGGGAGGUCUUGAGUUGGCUUAAGAACACCCAGGUUUUUCCUAUUAUUAUUGAGACUGAUUGUUUACAAGUGUUUAAUGCGUUGAUUGAUUCCAAGGACUAUUAGAAUGGAUUUGGUCUUAUUAUUUCGGAUUGUAGAGCCUUGGCUCAUAGCUUAAAAGAGGUGACUUUCUCUUUUGUAAGGAGAUCUGCGAAUACCGCUGCCCAUGUUGUGGCUAAGGUGGGGUGUUCUUUGUCAGGUCCGGGUGAAUGGAGACAUGUUCCACCACCCUGGUUAUUUUCUCAUUUGUCUGUUUAAUGAAUUUCUUCCUUUCUUAAAAAAAAAAAAGAAAAAAAGAAGGGGUUCCUUUUAAUUUAGAAAUAAGGAUCCUCUUCUCAUAAAUUGAGUUCUCUUAAAUUUUUUAAAAUUUUGUAUCACCUAUCUUUUAAUAAUAUAUUAUUAAAAUUUAAUUAUUUUAUUUUUAAUUUAUUAAUUAUAAAUCACUUAAAUAAAUUUGACUCAGAGCAAAUUCGAUCACGACAAAAUCUUAAAAUGAGAGUAUGCUCUCAUAAAUUCACCUUGACAAGAAAUUUUUUUAAAAAAAAGUGCAUGUCAAAUCAGCAUUAAUUCCACCGUCAGGAAGAACUUUAAGGUUUACGAGAGGGAUACAAAUUGCGACGCCUUCCUGUCCAACUGCUUUGAGAUAUCGUUUAUUUUUUGGAUUGGAUUGAAAAUCUUGAGGAGUGAGAAUCCUAAAAUUGGGAGUGUGAAGUGAGAGUGGGAGUAGGUUGUUUACUUAUACUGGAAUUGAAGCAUAGAAUAGAUAUCAGAAUUCAAUUUAUAUGUUUACUUUGUUUUGGAUUUAGAGUAAAUAGUUUCAAAUUAUAAUUUUAUCAUUAUUUAAAGAAUUAUUGUUUUUAAUUACAAAACUAAUAAAAAAUAUAUUUAAUGAAUAAUAUUUAUUUUAUUAUAUUUGUAAAUUUAUUAUAAUUAUUAAUAUUCUUAAUUAUGAACAAUAAAUUAUUAAUUUUAAUUUUAAUAUAAAAUGAAACCUUAUUUUAUUUUAUUUAAUAUAAUUAUAUUAAAUUUAUUAUUAUAUAAAAUAAUAAUAUAAUAUUAUUUAGUACAAAAUUAAUAUUUUCUUAGAAUAAACUAUUUAUUAUUAUUAAUAUUAAAUAAAUAUAGUACUAUUGUUUUUAAAAUAAAUAUAAUAAUAUUAUAUUUAUUAAUUCUCUAUUAAUAUAAUAAUAUUAUUUUAAAAUAAUUUUAACUUAGAAUCAAUGCAAAUUAUUAUUUAGUUAAAUAUAAUAUUAUUAUUCAAAUAAAUAUAAUAAUAUUAUUCACAUAAAUAUAAUAUUAUUUAUUUUAUUUUAUUAAUUAUAAAAUAUUAAAUUAAUUUAAAAAUAAAAGGGUAAAAAAGAGAGAGGUGGGAGUGGAUUCUCACUCUCACCUCCUCCAAUGGGAGUCCCACUCCCACUCCCCACUCUAAAAAUGGGUGGGAUUCACGGAGUGAAAUUCCCAAUCCCUUCUCAUUUUGAGAAAAUAAAUGCUGGAGUGAGAAGAAUCCACACUCCUCACUCCCACUCCAGCAAGUAAACACAGCAUGAGUUGAGUUAACCAUACAUUAAUGUUGUGUUUACUUGCUGGAGUGGGAGUGAGGAGUGUAGAUUCCUCCCACUCCAGCGUUUACUUACUUAAAAUGGGGAGGGAUUGGGAGUCCCACUCCGUGGGCCCCACUCAUUUUUGGAGUGGGGAGUGGGAGUGGGAAUCCACUCCCACCUCUCCCAUUUCUACCUUUUUUUUUAUUUUAUGUUUUAUAAUUAAUAAAAUAAAAUAAAUAAUAUUAUAUUUAACUAAAUAAUAAUUUACAUUGAUUCUAAGUUAAAAUUAUUUUAAAAUAAUAUUAUUAUAUUAAUAGAGAAUUAAUAAAUAUAAUAUUAUUAUAUUUAUUUUAAAAAUAAUAGUACUAUAUUUAUUUAAUAAUAAUAAUAAAUACUUUAUUCUAAGAAAAUAUUAAUUUUGUACUAAAUAAUAUUAUAUUAUUAUUUUAUAUAAUAAUAAAUUUAAUAUAAUUAUAUUAAAUAAAAUAAAAUAACAUUUCAUUUUAUAUUAAAAUUACAAUUAAUAAUUUAUUGUUCAUAAUUAAGAAUAUUAAUAAUUAUAAUAAAUUUACAAAUAUAAUAAAAUAAAUAUUAUUCAUUAAAUAUAUUUUUUAUUAAUUUUGUAAUUAAAAAUUAUAAUUCUUUAAAUAAGGAUAAAAUUAUAAUUUGAAACUAUUUACUCCCAAUCUAAGACAAAGUAAACACAUAAAUUAGAUUCUGAUCUCCAUUCCAUGCUUCCAUUCCAGUGUAAGUAAACAACUUACUCCCACUUCCACUCCAUACUCCCAAUCCUAGGAUUCUCACUCCCUAAGAUUCCCAAUCCAAUCCAAAAAGUAAACGCUACCUAAAUAGGACAGCGCUUAUGUUACGUUUACUGGAAGAAACAGCCGGACAAUAUGGAUAGUUGGAUUCGUCAUUUCUCAAAUCCAACGGAUGGAAAUAAAUAUAACGUGGAAUGAGUUACAGCUACAAGUGGUCAAAUGAUUAUUAUAAACCAAAAAGGGGCAACCUGCCAAAAUGAUUCUAAAAAAAGGCGGCUAAGGGAGUUAUCAGUAAUGCAAUCAUAGAGGGAAAAGAUAAAUCAGCUGCAUGAGUACGCUACUAUUUUGUCAUUUUUCGUGACCCAUGAGUCCAUUUUUUAUUUUCAUGAUGCAGAAUCAAACUCAUGUUAUGCUGCACAUAUACUAGUAACUCAUCAAUUCCAUCUUUUUCGCUACUUUAUUUCGAUUCACCAUUCAAGUUUUUGAAUAAUUCAUAUAUUAAUGUUGUUUAUCAGGGCCAAAUGAAGUUCUGGUAGCCAUGAAAGUUAGUUCAAUAUUUACAAAGUUAGGCAUUUUCUUUUUAUAUUUAAGCAUUCCCGAUUUUACACUUAUCAUACUAAUGAAAGGUAAAAUAAGAUUUACGCCCACAAGCCCCAGGAUAUACUAAAAUCAUUAUAAAAAAUAUUAAAGUCAUUAUUUUUUCAGCAUUUCCAGAUGUAUAAACUGUGAAAUAUGGAUUAAAUCAACUAUCAAAUUGGCUCUAAAAACUAUCAUAAUAUAAAUAAAUAGUUAAAACAAAUCAACUUAACAUAUAUAAAGUAGUUUUACAUCACUUACUAAGUCACCUAGAUAGUGCUUAAAUUUACACACAUAACAUAAGAAGUUCUAUGAUUUAUAUACAUAUCAAGUUAAACAUACAUAAAGAAAUUUUGCAUACAAAUACAAGUUCUGCGAUUUACACACAUAAAUGUGAAAACAUCAUUUCCCACGCAGCUUGCUUCAAUUCUUAGCAAAGUUCAGAUUUUUUUCUAAUUGCAAAAAAAGUAGCCUACAAUUUACAUCCCACAAGCUUCCUAACUGCUGCAUUGACACAUCUACAAUUUAUAUAAAAAAAAAGUUCCAUUAAAUUGCAUAUCAAGUAGGAUAAUCAGAUAAAAGAUCAAGAAAGAUCAAAUUUACAUUUCUUUUCAAAGCUGUAUGCAACAUUGUAAUAAACAAGUCUCUAUCAAGAUUCAAAAAGCACUAGUAGUUGGGUAAGACGCCUUUCUUUUACCCGGUUCACUGUUUUUAGUUCAUGCAUGUUACUUUCUUCUCAAGUGUCUCAAAUUCAUUUGUCUACAUGAAUUUUUAAUUCCAUCCCUAUAGAUUCUUUUGUGUGUUUUUCAUUUAUAGCAGUCUUUCACAGAAAACCUGGGGACAAUUGUUCAAAUAUGUUAAAUAUAAGGAAAAAAUUAAAAACAAAUACCCGUUCAUCCUCGAAUUGUAACAUACUCAUGCUUUAUGAUGACAAUAACCAUUAUAUACAAUCCUAACUACAUGCUCAUGCCAUAAAAUAGAACAUUCUGUCUAGAGACUUUUGAACUAAAACACCUGCUCAACCAUUCGUCCCACUACAUAAUAUUUUCACUUCAUCGAUAAUAAAUCACAUUGACUAUGUUGAUAAUCAAAUUACAUCCAAAUAGUUGAAAUUGAUGCAUGAAUUUAUAAAUCGACACUACUACAAAAAUGACUUUUACUGACACUUUGUGAAAAGUGUCAGUAAUUUUGUACAUAUGCACCAUUUUCCGCUUUUAACAAAUAUAUAUCAUAAAUUAUUGAUACUGAUGUGUCAGUAAAUUAAACAUCAGUGAUCACUGACGUUGAAGUAUUAAAGAUUAAAAAAAAUCAUUAAAAUUUGCUUUAACUCCAACUCGAACCUAGGACUUUUAAAAUUCAAAGCUUUAAAAUAUGGACAAUACACCAUUGGACCUUGUAGAAUUAAGAUAUAAUAGCAGUAAUAAAUUAAAAAACAAAAUUAAAAUAACAAAAGCAAAAUAUAACCCAGACUUGGAAACUUUAUUUCGUUUAUGGACGCAAAUAUUUGAACCAAACCCUAUCACUAUCUUGCUUUCUCCUUCUCUUUUUCCUUUUUCUCUUCUCGAUCUCUUUUGUUUCCAGUUGUCCAUUUGCAAGCUCAAUUCAAUUAAUUCAGACAAAAAAUGAAAAGCUAAACCCUAAUUGAGGCUUCUCUUUCCUUUUUCCUUUUGUCCCCAAAUCGAAAACAAAGCGAAACCUUUUUUUCCCCAAAUCGAAGAACAAAGCGAAACCUUAAUUGAGGCUUCUCUUUCCUUUUUCUUUUUUUCCCCAAAUCAAAAAACAAAGCGAACCCUAAUUGAGGCUUCUUUCAUCGGAGUUUUUUUAUUUUCCUGCUCAAAUUUCACUUUUUUUUGUUCGCUACUCGAAACCCAUUUGCUUGAAUUUGAGAUAAUUGUUGAGAAGUUAGUUAAUUUGUUUGCUAUAGAAGGUUCGCCUAUGCCUAGAAUUGUAGAGGAGGAUUUCAAGGACUUUAAAGGCAGAGAGGUUUAUUUUAACAAUUGGUAAUGGCUUAAUAUUUUUUUGUCAAUUUAAUUACUGGGUUUGUUUUAUUUUAGCUUAUGAUUAUUUUUUGUAAUUUUAAUUUUCUGGGUUGUUGCCGAUGUUGAGAAAUUCAUGUUUAUUUGGAAGGUCGCACUUUUCUUUAUGUAUUGAUUUAAAUUCUUGUUUAAGUCUUGUGGCUUUGAGGGUUUAAGCGAAACGGGGUUUAUUUUAUAAAUGAGGAUCCUAUGCGGGCUUAUGGAAAUUGGAUGUGUUUUAGAUUAGCUGCCUGAUUAAUAAGUUCUUGUUUUUGUUCUCUGUUGAGCCUUUUUAUUUUGGAGUUUGCAGCAAUUUGUCAUUCCAUAGUAUGAUCGAAGUUUAAUGGGGAGUUUAUUGGUGGAUUGUGUUAGGAGUUGGCCCUUUUUUUUGUUUGAACUUUUUGUGAUCUGUUUUAAGAUUGAGAACAAAAGCUUUGAUCGGUACUUGUGUAAAGUCUUAUCGGGAAAUAAUAAAAAGUGCUUUUUUAUUAUUAUAUAGGGAAAGGAGGAGCUGGUGAAGCACUUUCGGAGUUUUGACUUUCCAUGUGAUGAAUACCUUCCUGUUUGCUUCAGUCCAGCCCGCGAUGGCACAAGAAAGAAUGUGAAACAAAGCACUAUUGGCAAAUGUAGAGGCACUAGCUAGUGUUUGGGAGGCUUCCAAGAAUAUACGUCAUCAAAUCAAACCGUAACUCAGUGUUAAAUUUUUGUGGCUUUGACAUGACACGUGAUGAUGAGGAUGGUGGUACAUGCUUUGGUUUAAUGGCUUGCUUGUUGCUGUCACUUUCAUGGCUUGUGGUGGUGGGUUAGUGUUUGAUGAAACCUCUUUUUAUUUGUUUUAAAAGUUUAGUUAGCGUUAUGGGUUUUCUGCGUGAUCAACUUUGAAGAAGGGGUGGGGGACUGAGGGUGGAUCUUGCCACCUGGACCAUUUGAUGGUUGAGGUUGUGGGUUCCACCUCCAGAUGGAUGGAUGUAUAUAACUGGGGGCCAGUUUCAUUGUAAGCGUUCCCUGAUCUUUUGCUGGAGAACUUCUACAGUUGUGUGCCCGUAGUUCUUUUUAAACUGGUUGUGACUUUUAAUGUUAAUGUUUUAGUGUAGUAGAAUAGCAUGCACGUCUAGCAGGCUACCUGCUAAUGUUGUGUUUUGUGCCAUUUGCUAAUUGAUUUGGGUAAACUUCUGAAGCUUAUUAGUUUGAUGUAUUUUUCAUUUCACGUCUCAAUUUGUAUGUCUUGCAUUGUUGGUUUGUUUUGGAAUAAAAGAAUGGGGAAUUGGGACAUUCCAUGAUAAUGAGCAUGGGAUGCUCUGUAUAUGUAAAGCAAGGCAAUAGUUUCUCCAGCAGCUGAUUGGUCUCCACUGUGAACAUGUUAUUUCACAUUUAUAUUUUAUAUAUGAAAGCUGUAUGAAGUACUUCAAACUGACUGGUGUACUUCAAAUUUUUAAGUUUAUCCAUCAAUUGUUCUAAUACCGAAUUAUGAACUUUUUAAAACCCCAUCAUGGCUUUUAUUAUUAUUUUGGAUACUGUUGUACCUAUGUACUUCAGUGCAGGUGGGCUCCUGGCUAGAGAAAAUCACAAGCUUUGGUGUUCAUGACUGUCAGGUUCUUAUGGUUAUUAUAGUGGCAAGAAGCAUAUGGUUAGUUCAGUCUACUUACUAAAAUAAUUAACUUUUUGUUUAGUUAUUUUAAUUUCAUAUCCAUGCUUGCUGUUGGUGAUCUCUGUAUGUCUGCUAUGUUUUGAUGGUCUUUUAUUUUUUUACAAUAAUUAUGCCUAAUUUUCUUUACUUGAUCUUAAUUCCCAGUCCCAUCACUAUGGUCUAAUUUUGACUUUUUCCUCUCUCCUUCCGAAUCUAAAGUGACCUCUUCAAUAACUAUGAGAUGGUAGUUGUAACAAGUAUAAUCACAAGAAACUGUAAAAAAUAAGCCCAGGGCGGUGGGAGCUAGUUGACCUCUGUUAAUGCUCCUUGAUUUUAUUUUGUUGGGUUGGACUUGGAUAAUAUUUAAUGAUUAAAUGUUAUAUUUUGUUUUGCCAACUACAGCUUAUUAAUUAAGUGAUGAACAUUUUUUAAUUAAGUGGUAGCUAGAUUUUUAUUUUUUAUUUUUUUAUUUUGGUUUCUCUAGAUUAAUUAAGUGAUGAACAUUUGAUUGGGCAGAACCAGCUUCCGGAUGAUCAUGUAAUAUGCGGAAUGCACUACUAGAUUUAUGUGAUUUUCUUUAUACACAGUUUUGAAAUUUACAUUUCUUUGUUUAAGAUUGCCACAGUUUCUUAUAAAUGUCUCUCUAAUUUAUAGGUGGAGCAUCAGUUGCUGGUCAACUAGAGGACAUUCCAACAAUUUAAGAUUGAUCAGGAUUACUUGUAAGUUGAAUGCUUUCAAAUUAAUACAUAUGUUCAUUGUUAAUUUAUAAGGUUUUCAUUAGAUAAGCAUGCCAUGUAAUUUUUGAAAACAAAAAUUCUUUCAAAUUAAUAUUAGUGCACUGGAAAAAUUAUUGCACUUUAUAUAUUGUUUCCAAAUUCCAAGACUUAUUUUUUGAGGUGUACUAAUUGAUUUUAUGUACUUGUAGGUGGGAAAAAAAUGAAGCCAUGUGUGGAUAUUCAGUGACAUUCUUAUGCUUAAUUUUGUAGGUUAAUGUUUGAUGAAACUUAAUUUUGUAUUCUGUUGUUUAGAACUAGUCGAAACUCAAUUUGGUACUUAUAUUUUUCUUUUCCAAACAAUGAUGUAGUUAAAUUAUAUUAAUGUAAGUGAUGUAUUGGGAUGUUUAUUAUAUGAAUUGUGUUGUGAGAUUUGGUAUAUUUAAUAUAUUUUGAGUUUUAUUUUGAUUGUAAAACAAGCAGGAAAAUAAAAAUAAAAAUAAAAAUAUACUAUUAACCAAAAGUAGCAUAAUAUCAUUAAAUAUUAACACUAAAUAUUUAAAAUGACAAUAAUAACUUUUGAUGUUAUUGAAUCAGUGUGCUCUUGAUACUAUAGUCACAUAAAUCACUGACGUAUAAAUAAUAUCAUCAAAUACUAACAUCAUCGUGUCAUUAUUUAGGUGAUACUAUAAUGACACUAAUUACUGACACAAUAAUCACUGACACUAAAAAUUAGUGUCAGUGUGUUCUGGCUUGAGCAUCAUUGACACAAUUAAUAAGUGUCAAGAAAAGUAAUUACUGACACUAAAUUAGUAUCAGUAAAGCCCAUUUUUCUAGUAGUGCGAUUAACCUUUUCAAUAUUAGACAACAAUAAUUUGUCAAUGCCAUUCAGACGAUUUAUCGAACACUUGAUGCUAGGGGUGGGCAAACGGUUUGGUUCUAUGAGCAAAAAUCGAAUGGUUCUAAAACUGGCGAACUGACUGGUUUAAACCGAACCGAACUGAAAAACCGAUCAGUUUAGUUUGAUUUGAUUAUAAUAUAUUUAAUUGAAUAUAUAUAAACCAAAAAUAAAUUUCUCUCUCAAAUCCCUAACCCUAGGUAUUUAAGAAUCGAACUGAACUGAGCUGAUUUUAGAAAAAUGAACCGAACCGAAAUAUUUCGGUUCGGUUCGAUUUGGUUUUUAAAUUCGGUUCGAGUUCGGUUCAUACUCUUAGGAACCGAUUGAUUUCGGUUUGGUUCGGUUCGGGACCUGAACCGACUAUUGCCCACCCCUACUUGAUGCAUAUGGCCUAUUUAAGAAUUUGAAGCAAGAUAAAAUAAUGAGAAUACAAAUCAACAAACCAAUCAAUGAUAUUACAAACAUUUCAUUACUAUAAAAAAAAAUCAAAUUAAGAAACAAUUUAUAAAUUUUCAAAACACUUCCAAACCUCUCAAACUGCAACUCCCCCGUCAUUUUUCUAUGUAGUAGUAAUAGACACAACUCUAAAACCAUUUGUUCUUUUUCUUUUUUCAGCCUUUGUUCAAUAAAUUGUCCAUUAUUAUAAAACUGUAUGAAUAUUUUGCUGAUUAUGUUUCAGAGGGGAGAUGUUGCUUCCUUCAAUAAACGGAGCAUGAGAUUAUGGAGUCUAAACUUUUGAAAGCCACACAAAAAUUUUUGAAUUUCAAAUUUUCUUUUUCGUUUUGAAUUUUUCAUUGAUAUGCACCUAAUCUUUAACCAGCUACACUAAGGAAUGAGACAUUGACUUUACCGUUCACGCAUUUUGCAACUGGUUUCCAACUGGCUUGAACAUGUUUUUAAUAUUGUCCCUUACCGCCACGUACUGCUCUUACGUGAGUCAAUUGGUCACGUCAUUGUUGUUACUUACAUCAAAUGUAACAUAAGUUUACCCAUUAAAUAGAGACAAGGGCUGAACAUUUAUAAAGACACUUUAAUUUCAACAUACAUCUUAAUUUAGGAUAUUACGAGGACAACGUGCAACUGGCACACACAUAAGAUCCCGUGCUCUUGGAGAUGAUAAUUGUGGGCGUUCAGACAUAUCAACAACACCAUCGGGACUCGUUACUUUGAAAUUGAAGCACUGAAUCAUAGCUGCUAGAGUUGUCGGCAACUCUUGCAUGGCUAAAGAAAGGCCAGGGCAGCCUCUUCUCCCAAUUCCAAAUGGCAGCAAUUGGUAAUGCAAUCCUCUAACAUCAAUCUCACUAUUUGACUGUGAUAAGAAUCGUUCUGGCUGAAAUUCCAAUGGGUUCUUCCAAAUUUUGGGGUCCCUAUGUUUGAGAAUUAACAAAUAAAACACAUAAAAAACACACUAUUUUAUUUCUUCAACAACGCUCCUCACCAAUUACAACUCUUAUUUUUCACUCUCUACACCUUAGAGAUUUUGUUACUUCACUUGAUGCUUAAACCAAAAGGGAGAGGGGGUAUUUAUACAUGAUACAAACUAAUCACAACCAUUCAUUUAUUCAACUACUACAUAAAUCCUCACCAUUCAUUAAAACCUACCACUCACCUACUUCACCAUUCAUACAUGAUCGGUUGGCUCUUCUUGUGGCAAACCCAACUCCUUCAGCAAAUUUCUGAGCCAAAUUGCAUGACAAACACUUGAUGUGGCAGCUAAAUACUCAGCUUCACAAGUGGAUAGCGUGACAAUAGGUUGCUUCUUUGACAUCCAUGUGAAAGCAGUAUCUCCCAUGAAGAACACAAAUCCUGUGGUGCUUUUUCGAUCAUCUACAUCUCCACCCCAAUCACUAUCGCUAUAUCCAACAAGCUUGUAGUCAUUAGAAAAUGAGUAUAACAAGCUGAAAUUAGUUGUACCUUUGAUGUAGCGAAGGAUUCUUUUUGCAGCUUUAAAAUGGGUGGUCUUUGGAUUCUCCAUGUAUCGACUCACAAGUCCAACAACAUAAAGGAUAUCUAGUCUCGUGCAUGUUAAAUAACCUAGGCUUCCGACCAAACUUUUAAAGAAUGUUGAAUCUAUAUCUUUGCCUUUAUCAUGUUUGGAUAACUUGACUCCGCAUUCCACUAGCGUGCUUAUAGGCUUACAAUAAUUCAUUUUGAACUUCUUGAGAAUCUCCUUUGCAUAGCUUUCUUGGGAGAUAAAUAUGCCUUCUUCCUUUUGUUUGACUUCAAUACUGAGAUAAUAUGCCAUCAGUCUGAUGUCAGUCAUCUCGAACUCUUUAAUCAUCACUCUCUUGAACUCUUCAAACAAGCUUGGAUUACAUCUAGUGAAGAUGAGAUCAUCCACAUAAAGGCACACAAUAAAAAUAUCUUUAUCUUUUUCUUUGACGUAGAGAGCAUGUUCAUAUGGGCAUUUAUUAAAGCCUUUCUCUUGAAAAUACUUGUCAAUUAUGUUAUUCCAUGCCCUUGGUGCUUGUUUUAACCCGUAAAGAGCUUUCUUUAAUCUCAAAACUUUGUCUUCAUAUCCUUUCACCACAUAGCCCAAUGGUUGUUCGAUGUAAACUUCUUCUUCAAGGAAUCUAUUCAAGAAAGCAAACUUAACAUCCAUUUGAAAAAUCUUCCAUUUGUUCUGAGCAGCCAAAGAAAUAAUAAGUAUAAUAGUUUCAAGUCGAGCUACAAGAGCAAAUACCUCGUCGUAGUCUAUGCCAGUCUUUUGACUAUAGCCUUUUGCAACUAGCUUCGCCUUGUGCCUUUUAAUUUCUCCCUUCGCAUUUCUUUUUGUUUUGUACACCCAUUUGACACCGAUCGCCUUAUGCCCUUUGGGAAGAGUAGUAAAGCUCCCAAGUAUCAUUCUUCACAAUGGCUUUGAUUUCUUCAUCCAUUGCAAUUCUCUACUUCUCAUCUAGUGCAGCUUCUUGGAAGUUGAGAGGCAAAAGAGAGUGAGAUUAUCAUGUCUCUCAGUUACCUCAUAGAGAUCUUGAAGACUCCUUGUACGUUCUUCGGUUCUUACAUUUAAGAAAGAUGGCGGUGAAUCUCCACAUGUGGUUGAUACUGGUGAGAUAGGUGGAGUAGCUAGCUCUUGUUGUUCUUUUACUCGUUUUAUCUGAGUAUGAUCAUCUUCUUCGAUGGGAAAGAAGUUGAAGUCAUCCACACUAGAGCCAAAAUCUCAUUCUUCUUCUUUAUCAAAAACUACAUCUCGACUGAUCACGAUUUUUCCGUUGUUUGGAUUAUAAAGCUUGUAUCCUUGGAGUUGUUGUCAUAGCCGAUGAAGAUGAACUUCUCACUUUUGUCAUCCAGCUUGGCUCUGCUUUCGUCUGGUACAUGUACAUGGGCAAUACUUCUGAAAACUCUUAGAUGGGUGAUGCCGGGCUUUCUUCCACUCCGAGCUUCUUGUGGUGUCUUGCCCCACACACUUCUUGUUGGAGAUCAAUUGGAUAAGUAGACUGCACAUGCAACAGCUUCAGCCCAAAAUUCUUUAGGUAGCCUCUUACUCUUGAGCACACUUCUUGCCAUGUUGAGGAUGGUUCUGUUCUUCCUUUCUGCAACACCAUUUUGUUGAGGGGAUCUUGGAACUAUCAAAGGUCAUCGAAUUCCAUUUGCUUCACAAAACUCUAAAAAUCCUUUAGAAGUGAACUCUCCACCUCGAUCAGAUCUAAUGGCUUUAAUUUUGUAUCCACUUUCUUUUUCCAAUGCAGGUUUAAACUUCUUGAAAGCUUCAAAGACUUCUGAUUUCUACUUCAAAAAAUACACCCAAGCUUUUCUUGAAAAAUCAUCUAUGAAGAGAAGAAAGUAGUUACUCUUACUAAUGGAGUUUGGCUUGAAUGGACCGCACACAUCAGUAUGAAUGAGCUCGAGUGGCUUCUGAGCUCUUGAGUUUAACUCCUUUGGAAAGCUCUUUCUAAACUGCUUGCCAAGUAAACAUCCUUCACAAAGUUGAUCAGGGUGAUUGAUGUAUGGUAAGCCUUUCACCAUGUUCUUCUUGAAUAGUAGCUCCAAUCCUCCAAAGUUGAGAUGCCCAUAUCGAAGAUGCCAAGUCCAUGAUGGAUUUUUGUGACAAGAUUUGAGAUAUUUUGCAACAUCAUUUUGAAUAUUUAAAGGAAACAUUCUAUUCUUCGACAUUUUCACCUUUGUAAUUAGAUUUUCUUUGUCAUCUCUUAGGAAAAGACUACAAUCUUUUAAGUGAAUAUCAUAGUCUUUUUCUAAAAGUUGACCCAAACUAAGGAUGUUGCUUUUCAUAUUCGGCACAUAGUAAACAUUCAAAAUUAUUUGGUGGCUACCAUCUUUUGCACUAAAAAGAAUGUUACCUCCACCCUACACUGGUACUUUUGAAUCAUCUCCAAAAGCGACACUCCCAUUCACAGAUUCACUUAGUUGCACGAACAUGCUUUUUUUUUCACUCAUAUGAUUGCUAGCACUUGUGUCAAAAUACCAUGUAUUUUCUUGACCUCCACUUGUGUCAUUGCGUGCUAGUAAAAGUGUGUCAUCUUCACUAUUUUUCUCUUCAACAUAAUUCACUCUUUCCUCAAUUCUGGUGCUUGGAGCUCUGUAUUCUGAAGCUCCAAAAGAAUGUUACCUCUACCCUACACUGGUACUUUUGAAUCAUCUCCAAAAGUGACACUCUCAUUCACAGAUUCACUUAGUUGCACGAACAUGCUUUUUUUUUCACUCAUAUGAUUGCUAGCACCUGUGUCAAGAUACCAUGUAUUUUCUUGACCUCCACUUGUGUCAUUGCGUGCUAGUAAAAGUGUGUCAUCUUCACCAUUUUUCUCUUCAACAUAAUUUACUCUUUCCUCAAUUCUGGUGCUUGGAGCUCUGUAUUCUGAAGCAUAAUGCCCAAACUUUUGACAAUUAUAGCACUGUACUUGAGAUUUGUCAUACCUCAAUCUUGGAUCACCUCUGCCUCGUCCUCUAGUUGAGCUUUCUCCUUUGGCAUAAUUGGAGUUGUUGUUGUUGAAAUUCCAACCUCAUCCAUGACCACGACCUCUAUAUCGUCCUCGUCCUCUACCUCGGACAUAGUGCCUUCUCUCGUUGUCUGAGCUUUCUUCUCUUUUCUUUGGAUUGACCUCUAUCUUGAGAAGUUGUUCUUCGAUUCCUUGCUUCUUUUUUAGUUUUUCUUCGUAGGCUUGCAACCUUCCUUGAAGUUGCUUGAUCGUCAUAUCCUCCAGAUCUCUUGUUUCCUCAAUUGUCACAACAAUAUGGUCAAACUUCGAGUCUACUGAUCGAAGUAUCUUUUCAAUAAUCCUUACCUCUUUUAACUCUUUGCCAUUUCUUUUUAAUUCAUUAAAAACUGUCACAACCCGAGUAAAGUAGUCAGAAAUUAACUCCGACGUCUUCAUGUGUAAGGACUCAAAUUCUCCUAGUAAUGUUUGGUGACGAACCUUUUUAACUUGCUCCGCUCAUUUGUAAGAGGUCUCUAGUUUCUCACAUGCUUCUUUUGAGGAGGUUAUAUCAGCAAUCUUUUCAAAAACAUCUUCAUCUAAUGAUUGAAAGAUGAGAUGCUUUGCUUUAUUCUCUUUCUUCUUCAAGUCUUUUAAAUUCUCCUUCUGCGCUGCAGUUAAAGUGGAUUCAUUUUCCGGUACAAUAAAGCAUUUCUCCAUGACAUCCCAUACGUCAUGUGCACCCAAUAGAGCCUUCAUUUUAAUACUCCAGUUGUCAAAUUUACUUCCCUUUAAUUGUGGAACUUGAAAUGACAUCAUACCACCGUUUGCCAUAACUUACAAAUUGAGUGAGAAUUUGGAGAUUCUGAAUGCACAGAUGAAUCUGGCACGUCGAAAAACCUUGGGAAGGACUCGAGUCAACUUUCAGUCAACGGUCAACGUCGGCUUAGUAGUCUUGGUUCGGUCUGGUUUGGUUCAGCUGGAGUUGGCACGGUUCGACUUGAUUCGGUUCAGCUCGGCUCGGCUUGGUUCGGUUCGGCUCAGCUCAGCUUGGUUCAACUCGGUGAGUCAACUCAGCUCUGGACAGAAAACUGCCGGCAGCGAGUGUGGGCGCGUCCAGUCUCCAAUCGGGAUGAUUUUUGCAGUGUCAUGUUCCUAUCGUCGAGAGCUUCGAUUUGAUAUUCUAUAUGAUUAUAUAUAGCAUCGAACACUAGCUCUAAUACCACUUUAUUUGAGAAUUACCAAAUAAAACACACAAAAAACACACUAUUUUAUUUCUUCAACAACACUCCUCACCAAUUACAACUCUUAUUUUUCACUCUCUACACCUUAGAGAUUUUGUUACUUCACUUGAUGCUUAAACCAAAGGGGGGAGGGGUAUUUAUACAUGAUACAAACUAAUCACAACCAUUUAUUUAUUCAAGUACUACAUAAAUCCUCACCAUUCAUUAAAACCUAUCACUCACCUACUUUACCAACCACACCUACCACAAGUAAUUCAAAUCUCACCAACCAUACCUACUCAUGGAAUUUUCCAUGAGUUGGGCUUGAAUUUAUUCAUCUUGGAUCAAGUUUAUGAUCCAACACCCUACCCAUAGACCAAAGGUUCACAAACAACAGAGUGCCUUUAGGACUUAUGUAGUUGCCAAUUUUACAGUCUUCUAGUGCUC